UGGGAUCAACCUUAGGUCCACUCACAAACUUGUCUUUGAUCGUCCGACUAUUCAAGAAUGUUUUUUUUUUCUUUCUUGAGGUAAAUAUGUCUUUCUCUAGCCAUGUUUCUAUUUUUGAGGUUUUCAAGCGAAAGAAGUCAGGAUUUUGAGGUAAAGGUCGUGUUGGUGUUUGAUACUAGUUCGGGUCCAAGAUCAGUGCAGAGUACUCCAUCUGUUCUGAAAUACUUCGAAUACCGUGAUUGAUCAUAAUAAUUUCAAUAGAGUUGAUAUUGAAACUUGAUUGAUACAAAUAAUUUCUCUUGAUGUUGAAAAAUUGAAAAGGUUGAAACAAGAUUGAUAAAGUUAACUCUCUCUUUUAAAAAUUAAAAAUAAAGCUAGUAAAUAUUUCAAUUAGUUUAAAUUAAUGAUCACAUUAUAAAAAAAAGUCUAUAUUUCAUUUAUAGUUUAUAUUUUUCUAAAUUUAACAAACCACUUUUUUAAGACAAAAUGGUAAUUCAACUGAUAGAGUGAAUUUUCAAUAAAACAAAAUAAAUAAUAGAGAACCUGAUUUAAAUAAUGGUAUUCGAGUUAAUAAAUUGGUGAGAUAGGAGUAUGGUCGGUUGCCGCUCACAAGCUUUUGACCGAGUCAAGCUAGGGCCAUUCAUUUAUAUACACCUCACAUCUUGUUUAUUUUUGUUCUCCAAAUCUUCAUUUAAAGUGGAAAAACUUGUGCAUCAAAUUAAAAUUUAAUAACUAAGUUAAGAUUGCAUUAAAUAAAAAGAAUUAAUUAAGUACUAACUAUCAAUUAAAUUUAAAAACUUUAAAUUGAUUUUUUAUUAAAAAGAAUAAUUUUAUUGAGUAUUUCACUACAAGGAAAUGUAAAGAUAGCUUUAAAAUUUAACGUCUAGUAACAUGAGAUAUUAUUACAAUAGAUGAAAUCGACUCUAAGACGACAUCAAAUAUUUAUAAUUUUUCUAUAAUAUUUAAUACAUAAAAUUAUUAUAUAUUUUAAUGAUAUAUAAAAAUAUUCAAAAAAAAUUUAACGUCAAUCAAUUUAAAUAAAUAUUAAAUAUAUUUUAAAAAUAAGAUAUUACAAUGAAUUUAACCAAUUCAAAUAAUAUUAAAUAUGUUUUAAUAAUAAACAUAUUUUAAAAAAUAUAUUACUCUAAUAAUAUUAAAUAUGUUUUAAUUUUUGUAAAAAAAUUGGGUUAGCAUCGAUUAAGUAAAAUUAUUUUUUAUUAGAAAUGUGUAAAAUUAAGUUUCUUAUUUUUUUUAAAAUUUGAUAUGAAUUUUAAUAUUUUUUAAAAUUUCUCAUUAUCCUUAGAAUAUUACAAAAAUAAGACUUAAGAAUAAUAUUAAAAAGUAUAAUGCUCAACUCAACGACAGAUAAAAAAACUCUUACAUAUAUUCCCAUUUAAGAAUGAAGUUUUAAAAUUUAUAAAAUGACAUAAAAUAUAAAAUUAGAAUUAAAGAAAAAGAAAAAGAUUAUUUCAAAGUAAAAUGAAUUUAAAAUGGAAGUUUUUUCUCAGUUACAAUCACAUAAUUAAUAUUCUAAAUAUUAUAUCUAAAAAUAUAAUAUACAGUAACUUUAUUAUUUUAAUUUGACCAUCCAAUUUUAAUCUAACUACUUUAGUUGAAAAAAAAGGCGGUUGAUCUUGAUUGUUGAUUACUUUACAUUGAUUACAUAAUUAAUAAAAAAAAACAGUGAAACAUAAGUUUAAAUAUGUUUUGGUUAAUGUAGUGGUGGAUUAGUUUAAAUAUUAACUUGAUUCUAAUUUUUUUUAACAGAAAUUGUUGACUUUUUUAUAAAAAAUAUAAAUAAAUAAGAGGUAUUUUAGGAAUACCUCAAUUCUUAUACAAAAUAUCAAUCUAAGUCUUUUUCUCUCGGUUGCACAGACAAAAAUACUUUAAAUUUUAUCUCAGAUACAAACACUCAAGAUUUCAACCAAAGAUUAUGAAAAAUUAAAAUAACAAGAAAAAAUGAGAAUGAUACCAGAAAUUUUUAGAUGGAAAACCCUUUAAAUAGAAGUAAAAAACCACCGGCGAGAGAGUCAAAACUUCCACUAUAAUGGUACUGGGAGUACAAUGAAUUCCUCUCAGGCUAAUAGAUAAAUAACCCGAAAACAAAUUCUCUCUAUAUGGGUUAAACACUUAUACCCAAGAGAAGAAAUAGAGAGUAUAGAAAAAAAAAAAAAAGAGGAAGCAAGUGUUUGUUGUUGUGUGUUAUGUGUUACAUUGCUCGAAAGAAGUCACUAUAUAUAGUGGUUCUAGGAGACAACAAUAAUAAAAACAAUUAAUUGAAAAUAACUUCCCUUUGAUUACAAUUAAUUGUGGCAAGUAACCUCCAUUUAAUUGCAAUUAAUUGUCAACGCUAAGUAACUUCCUUAUUAUUGCAAGAAAACAGAAAGGUGGGUCAUAACCCACAAACACCUAUAAGAUACACCAUUAAAAUCUCUAUAUUUAUCAGGUAGACCUCCAAAUAUUUUUUUGACAAACAUAAGUGAAUUAAGAUACUAAUCAGAAUAAGAAAAACAUAUCCCGGAUUCUUUGCACUUUACUUAGUACCAAACUUCCAGUGCCAAACUUCCAGUGCGCUAAAGUAAUUGUUGAUGUGAGAAAUGAUUUACCUUUUAAUUAAGUUAAACUAAUGUUUAGAGGAAAUGUUAAAGUUGUGUUGAUGUUUGAUUUAGAUUAGGUAUAUGGAGUGGGAGGUGAUAAAAUAGGAGGAUAAAUGUCACCUCAAACUCAAAGUGAUGGUGUGGUGGUAGAGUGAGUGAGGAAAGGGAUGGAAGAUGAUAAUGCACCUAUCCUCCUCCAAUUUCUAACACAGACCCCACUUCUUUAAUGCGCGUCCUUUUCCCUUCAAACAAACAACGGACCAUUGGGUGUGGAAACCAACCUUCCACGCCAACCGUCCGAUCAAGAUCAAUCCCUAACCCUCACGCACUACUACUGUUAGACCCACUUCCCUCUCCAGCCACCAAAGAGGGAUUAAGGGAAUCAAACUACCAAACACUCCACCCUCUUCACUUUACAUCACAAAUACCUUAUCUCACUUUGCAAAAUCUUCUUCUUCUUCUCUCUUUCAAGUUUUUUAUGCAUUUCACGUCUCUCAGAAGAAGAGAUAACACCAAAAUUUUGAUGAAUGGAGAUACAUUAUUAGAAUAUACGUGUGUUUAGGGGCCCAAAUUUAUGGUCAGUGUACCAUCAAGAGGAGCAUCAACUUGAAAAAUCAUCAUAAGACCAAGAAAAUCAUUAUCAUCCUGUAGUUUCUAGCAUGGACAAAAUUUAUAUACACGUCUAUUAUUUGACUAUAACCUAUUUUAAUAUAAUUUGCGUUAUUAUUUUAUGAUUCACUUGAAAAAUUGAAACUAUUUUGAAUUUCGAAUCAAGAUGUAUAGAAGAAUAACAGUAGGUGAAAGUGGUGUUCAAGUAGCUGAACAGGAAUCACGAAGCAAAAUAUUUAAAAAUUAAGACCAAUUCAUUGCAGGAGUGUUUAUUUAUUAGCAUAUACAACGUAGUCGCUGCUUCUGAUUGAUCGGAAUUCAGAACAAUUGCAACAAAGGAGAGGGAACAUUAGAUCAUAAUAUAUAAGGGAUUGGAAUGAAAUCAUCGACCAUUUCAUGUCUGGUCAAUGGCGGAGAUUGAGAGGAAGAGUUGUGGAAGAAGUUGUCGUUGAAAUCGGUGCAAGAGAAAAAUUCAGGGAAGGGUGGCAAACUAACAUGGGAAUUGAAGGUAUUGGUGGUGGUGGUGGCGGUAGUGGUAGUGGUGGAAGGAGUGGUGGCAGCAGCAGCAUAGCGAGCAAGACGGUCCUUAGCAAUGGCAAGGUCGUGUUGAAGCUCCACCAUCUUCCUCUGCAGAAGAGCUAUGGCACCAAUACAUCCAUAAAUGGGGUCCCUGAGCCUGGCUUCUGCUUCAUAAGCAAGAGAAUUCACCGUGUCCUCUCUCUGCUCCUCGGGAACUUCAAUGAGGAUCUUGCUCACAUUGCUGGCUCCAAACACCUUGUGCACCUUGGCAAAUUUCUUGCACUCAUCAGAGCGAAAGUAAGGUGCAAAUAUACAAUUGGGUAUGCAUCGUCUCUUCAAGAACUUGCAGGCUGCACAAGAGGAACUUGAACGUGGCUCGUAACCCUUCAUGGCUCUCAAAAUAUUCCUUCCACUUUACUAUAGUGUUUGCACUUAUAAGUAUAUGGUUCUCUCCAAAGGUAUUUUGCAGAAUUGGUAUUUAAGGCAAACCAUGUUACCUUGCCCAUUGGCUCAGCUAGGUCGCAGGUAAGGGACUUGCAUGGGCCAGUGUUGUUCUUUUAAUGCAUUUAUUUUCAUUUGUUCAUAAUUUUUAUUUAUUUAUUUUUGCACCUAUGGCAUCCAUUCAAAUUGGGAGUGCAAAAGUAGGUCCAAAUAAUUGAUUCAUGUGGACAAUGGGUGGUAUGAGUUGGUAGUUUUCAAGUUAGAUAUGAUAGUUCAUGAAUAAAGAUGAGGAUAUUUUGAUUGAUAGAAGAAAAGAAAUAUUCUCAAAAAAAGCUAAAUUAUCCCUUGGCAGUGAGAGGUAUGGUCAUUAGAAAGAAAGCAAUAAGAUCGAAUUGAGUACUUUAAAUGUAGUUGGAAUCUUCAGUACAACAGAGUGGAGCCAAAAUUAAAGCUAGUGAAAUGUUGUUUUUAUGCUUUCUUUAUCAUUAGAUAUUUCGUUUUUUCCGUUAUUUUUUACUUCUGCUACCACCCUCAUCAAUCUCCCUUUUAUUACAUCCACUACUAUAUAUUGCUUUUUAACCACAUAAUUCAGAAAUUAAAUUUUCAAAAAUUAAGAUGGAACUAAUUAUAACUAAUGUAAACAUAACAACGAAUACCUGUCAAAUUUAACCACACCAAAUUAAACAUAUUGUUGCAUAUAGUAACUUUUAAUUAAGUAUUUCCUUUUUAUUCACAAAAGAAGAAAUACAAGGUGUCAGCUGUGAGUACCCUUUAUCUUUAAUAUUUACCAAAUUAGUUUGGUUAGCAAGUAAUGAAUUUUAAGUAAUGUUUUUUUUAUAGUAUUUUAAGUAAUAUAUUUAAGGAUAACUCAAAAUUGAUUUUAGUAGUCAAAAUUUAUAUAUAUUUUUUUUGAUGUUUUAGUAAUUGUGAUGUGACCAACUUGACACGACUUCAGGGAUUGAUGUGGUAGAAGUCGUGCCAACUUGACACAACUUCUACAUAUGAAGUCGUGCCAAAUUGACAACUUGUCCAAAUUUAUAAUUUUUUUUAAAACAACCCCAUUUUAAUAAAAACGAAAAAAAAUCCCAUAAUGGUCAAAACCUCUAAAAAAAACUAUUUUGUAAUAAGAAAAUUGUUGAAAUAAAUUUUUAGCCUAACAAUCAAAUUUUUUACACAAACUAUACAUCCAUAUAGAGUUAACAUAAUUUUUUUAAUAUCAUAAUUUAUACUGAAAAUGUUUGACACAUAAAAAAUAAUAAUAACUCAUUUUUUAUUGCAAGUAUUUAGACCUAAACCUUGAACUAUGAAUAAAAAUUAAUAAACUAAUUUUGCUGAAAAAUUCUGGAAGAAAAAAUAUAUUUAAUUUGAUAUAUUUAAUAAAAAAUGAAUUGUUUAGGAUAAAAGCAAAAGCAGGUGGUAAUGAUAAAGUGAUUGACUUCCAUUUUGCAAGCGUGGGCAAAGUGAGUUUAUUAUUAGAUUUUAUGUUUAAGCAUUUUGGGAUAGAAAAGAUGGAUGAACAGGUAGAAGGUUAAACGGAGUGACUCUCUAUCAUUGCACAUCACUGUGUGGGUGCAACUGUAAAGAUUUCCUAUCUCAUUAUGGAAUCUAAUAUAAUAAUUGCAGAUUGCAUUGUUAGGUGCACUGAUCAUAACCCCACCUUUGGACCCACAUUUUCACACUUUUAAAUUAUUCAAAUUACACUAUUUUCUCUAUUUUCUUAUGUAAAUAUCAAAUAUUACUUUCUUUUUCCCUCUUUAUUCAAUUUCGAUUUCCUAAAAUGAGGUUGACACCACUAACAAUUCUCCUUUCUUUAAAUAAGAUUUUCGGAUAGAUUCUUAUAUAUCUUAACCAAUCACAAUAAUUUUGAUAAUUGAUUUGUUUAACUUAAAACUCAAAAAAUAUAAAUAUUUAACUAUUUUUGUGUUUAAGUAUAUGGAUAAAUAAAAAAAUAAUUGAAAGUACGUAACAUCAAAAGAGCAUUUGAAAUGUGCAAAAGAUACAAAUAUAUAUGAAAGAAAAAAACUAAAAUUCUUUGUUGGCUAAAAAGAGAUCAUUCAAUCUAAGGUUGAAUGAGAAUCCAAUAAUUUUUUUCUGAUUUAAUCUAUUUGAUCUUCUUUCUAGACUAGAGUUAGGCAUGUGGAAGCUUUAGAGACAAACUGUCUUUUGAGUACAUUUUCAAUUAUGAUCUCUUAAUUGGAUUAACAAUAACUAUCACCCUAUAAUAAUCAUGACUCGUAAUGAAUAAUAUCAUGUUUUAAAGUACAUUGUACCAUUGUUUUCAAAAUAAAAGCAUAAAAAUUGACUAAACAACUUAAGUAAGUGAAUGUUCCCACAUCACUCAUAAUAAGUUCAUAUAUUACAUUUUCAUAAGUUUUAAUCUAAGGUGGAUUCUUAUAUACAUAUUGUAAACUUUUUUAAUUUUUAUUUGCAAUUUAUUUUUUCUUAACUUGUUAAAUUGAAUUAAUUAUUAUAAUUAAAUAUUAAUUUAAUAUGAAUAAAUAUUUUUAAAAAUAUAAUAAAUAAUAUUUCAACAUGCAUACAAAAUUUCAUAACAUCCAAACAAUUAUUUUAACACGUCUACCAAAUUUAAAGUAUAAAAAGUUUAAUUUUAUAAUAUAAAAAAAUAACAGUAAAAUGUUUAUUACAUUACACAAUUAUUUUGAUCAUUCUGCCGCCUAAAACAUUUCCAAAUAUAUUAUUUAAAGUUAGACUGAAAUUUUCCGUGCAAUUAUUUGUCACGAAGAUGCACUCUCCUUUAUACGUAUGUGUAAGUAAAAUUAGGAUAUUAAAAAUAUUCUUGAGUGAUAUCUCAUUCCUUUCAUUAUCAUAUUCAAAACUAUUAUCAUAUGUUUGACUCUUAUCUUUAAUAAUUAUAUCAUCUUUGUAUUAUAAUGCUUGCAUACAUUAUAUUCUUUUUCAUUUGUGCUAGUCUAAGUGUAAACUUUAUACUAAUUUAGGUGGAUGUUGUUUGGAAAAGAGAAAUAGAAUUUUUAUAAUUGUGAUAUAUUUUUAUAUGGAUGGAAACAUCUUGAAAGUUUUUUUUUUAUUCUUUUAUCAAUAAAAAAAUACGUUAUAUUUUUUUUUCUAGUGUAAGUUGUUCGAUGUAUAAUUACAAAUUAAGAUUGAAACACUUGAAAAAGUUCUUCCUCAUAAUUUCUUAUUAAAUUUGGUUAUACAACUAUUUGUUUUCUCUUUGUGGCGUUGGAAUAUUUUCAAAAUUCGAAAUCAAUUUCCAUUAUAUUGGAUUUUGUACAUAUUGAAUUACACAGCAAAAACUUGUCUUAAGAAAUAAUUAGUUUUGUAACAAUUAGUUUGUGUAAUGAUUAUAAUUUUUGUGAUAACUGGUAUCUUAACAACUAAUUUUAUAACAAGAAGUUUUAUAAAACAAAUUGAAAUAGAUAUGUGAUAUAAUAGUAUAAUGAAAAUAAAACUUGAACCUACUUUUAAACAAAUAAAGAUAAAUUGAAUAAAAUUAUAAUAACAAAUAUUAUUCAAAGUUAUGUCAACUAUAGUGUUGGAGAUCCCACAUCGACUAGAAAUUAGAGUCUUUCAUAGUAUAUAAAUGGAUGCAAACCUCACCUCAUUGAGUUUUAAGGGGUUGAGUUAUGUCUAAAAUUUACUUCUUAAUAUAUAGUUACAAACCAAAUUAUAAUCUAGAGUUAUCUCAUAGUUGUUCACCUUCCUAACUUGAUAUAUUUUACUAAAGUUAUAUCUCAUAGCCUACUUCUUACAUACAGAAUUGUAUUUAUGGAUUGAGGUAUCUCAUUUACGUUUUUAUUGAUUAAAAAAAAGAGAAUAUAUAAUCUAAUAACAGAUAAUCUUUAUAUUUAAGCAUCUCUCUCACUAGGUCAACAAAAUCCAAUUUUGUAAACAAUAAGUAAUAUAAGAACCUACUUUAAAAUUAUUAUAAUAAAUCUAAAAUAUUAUUUUCUUUUUACAUUGUUUAUAUUUUAGAUAUUGAAAAAAAAAAUUAUCCAAACAAGUAAUAAUUCUCUCUCUAUAAAUUAAUAUAAAACAAAACAAACACUUUUUUUUCUAUUAUAUGAUGUAUUUAUUGAAAUUGAAUUUGUCUCUUGAUAGAACUAACAAACUGCUAAUAUAGUACAACACUCAUUUCCGUAAAUAGGAUAAUUUCCACUUCGACUUAGCAAUAUAAUAAGGAAUGGUUGAGAAAGAAUAAUAAUGAGAAAAAUAAUAGAAUUUAUAGUUAAGAAAUGGUUCACUCUAAAUUAACUUGUAUCCUCACAAACAUAAUAGAAUGAGACAAUUGUAAGCAAAUGUUUUACAUGAUAUACAAUAACUUGAACGCGCUAUUACGAGAAAAUUUUGGUUUUCCGCCAUCAAUAAUGAAAUGAAGUACUACAUAUGAAUGAGUAUCUAAUAAGGUUUAGGCUUUUAAUUCCUGCACCCCCAAUUUUGAACCUGCACCAUCACCUUACCGAAAUGACAUAAAUGCCCUCAAGGGUUUUUCAUUUCCUCCUUCUUCCUAUCUUCGUUGCACUAUUCCGGUUGUGCUCAGAUGUGUGGUUCAUUGGUUUUGCUGCAGUUGUAGCACUUGUGUUCAAUUGUUGAUUUGCAUUUGCUUCUAACUGGUUUUCAACACAUUCAAACGCAUAUUGUCGUUGAAAAGUGCAUAAUGUGAUUACUUUUGGAAUAUGUUUUCGAAAUAAGGUUUUCAUAACAUACUUUUAUUAUUGAAGGAAGAGGUCAUUCACCUACACAUUUGAAGUUCUUCCUUCUAGUCCAUUUCUAUUAAAAGUGUCUAUUCAUUCUCCAACUCAAGUUGAUUCCAUAAAAUGUCAAAGAAUCCUCUAUAUCUUGCUAUUGAAAUCCUAUCAGGAAGUUACAUGGUUGCAGGUGUGGACAAGAGCUCUCUACAGCACAAAGAAGCCUAUUUCAUGAUGGGUGCACUGGAGGAGGCUUGUUCACUGGGUUCUACUGUAAUGCUAGAGGAUAUCUCAGAGUUGGUUCCUCUCUGAAGGUCAUAAAUUUUGGAAAGAUUAGAGCUAUGGCCUGGACUCAGUUCACAAGCUGGACUCAGAGGUUUUGUUGUUGCAUUCAUGUGCUUCAUGUAAAGUUUUAAGCAGUUGUUGCUGCAUUUUAUAGGCCAGGAAAUUUGUUGCUCCUUUGUUUUGGAUGUUAAACAUUAAGGGACUUAUAGGAGGUAUAGUCUACCAAUCAGAACUUCAUGAAAGCAUCAAUCUUUCAUGCUUCUUUCAUAAUAGUGAUAUAUGCUUUUUAACCAUGAUUUUUUUGAAUGUUUUUAAGUGCAGUUAUUUGAAAUGUCCUUAUGUGCAAUGAUUUGUAGCUAAUGUCCAAUGUUCUGUAAGUUUUUUCUUUUGUUUUUUUGGAUUGAGGCUUCUAGCCUAACCUCUCUUUUUUUUUGUGUAAUAAAAUUGAACAUCAUAUUUUUUAUUCAAUUUAUUAUUUAUCGAUAAAAAAAAUAUAUUUAUGGAAUAAGUUUUUCAUAAUAAUUUUUGUAAUAGACAUUUUGAAAUAUAUUUAUGGAAUUGUUGUUUUGAAAUCAUAUUCUACAAAGGUUAUUUCAAAAAUAUGAUUUUUUUGGUUUUUUUUCUAUAUAUGGUUGUUUUUAACUGUUAAAUAUUAACUGUACUCAUGUAUAUGUAAAGGAAUAUGGUGAGAACUAAAGAAGGAGGUUAUCAAAAUAAUUGUACAUUGUUAGAUGAAGAGAGCGGGGUGCUAGUAAAAGUGUUUAAGGUGAAGAAGAUAAAGAAAAUAUUGUGGUAACUGAGGAGGUCGAUGUAGUGGAUGAUGAAUGAUUGUUUUUUCGUGCAUUUGAAAGUAUUUUUUAAAUUCGUAAUUAGUUUUUGGAUUAUAUGAUCCAAAAGUUUUUUUUAGCAUUCAUAAGUCUUUUUUUAAAUGCGUGUCUAGAUUACAUAAUCCGAAAUCAACUCUAUCGAGGUAGCACAAGAAGGAUAAAAAAGUAUUUUCAUAUUUUGUAUGGGAUGACAAAAGAACAUAUGAAGGUGAAAACAAUCAUGAUGAAGCCUAUCUUGGAUGCGCGUGUAGUGGAGGAUGAAGCCUAUCUUGAAGGCCCAUGAAGUGGAGGAUGCAGCCUAUCCAAAAUGAACUUCAUAUAAUUAUAGAAAAAUAUGGCUUCUUCUUCCUGCAUCCCCACAAUUUUAAAUAUUCCAACAUUAACCUUGAGCAAUAAUUUGAAAAGGGCAAUGUUCAGCACUUCCACAGUCACUGCUCAUCUUCAUCCUUGGGUAUCAACUGUUGUGGAGGUUCUUCAUAAUUGUUGAGAGCAAGACGAAGGAGUACACAACGUUGUCGAAGUAUUGUUUGGGUUAUAGAGGUAAGAGUUAAGGUUUUUUUUUAAGGAGCACGGUGGUUAUGGAAAUUUCGGGAUUACCGGAUAUCGGAAUCCAGUAAUAUAUUCCGGAUUCAUGAAUCUGGAAUUAAUUAAAUUAUGUGUUUCAGAUGAGUGGGUGUUCUGGAAGGUAAAAUGUCAUAAUAUGUUGUUCUUUGGAUUUCUGAAUCCAGAAGCUUAAAUUUCAUUACGGAUGGGUUGAUCCGGUAUUGUAUUUUGUGUUAUGGAUUCAUGAAUCCGGAAUGCAUCACUUGCAUUAUGGAUUUAUGAAUCUGGAAUUGUAUUUUGUGUUAUGGAUUCAUGAAUCUGGAAUGCAUCACUUGCAUUAUGGAUUUAUGAAUCCGGAAUUGUUUUUUUGUGUUAUGGAUUCCUAAAUCCAGAAUAGUCUUUUUGAAUUAUGGAUUGUUGGAUCCGGAAUAAUUUUUUUAACUUAUGGAUUCAUGGAUCCGGAAUGCAAUAAUUUUGUUUCAUUUUUUUUAUUUGUAGAAGCAUGGAUAGUAGUGAAGAAUUUGAACAAGAAUUAUAUGAUGGUGUGAAUGUGUGGGAUGAUGAUGAUAUUGAGAAGUCAUUAUCUAAAUCGAAGGGAUAUGAAUGUACAAAUGCGUUUACUACAGAUGAGAUAAAGUUAAGUUUGUAAAGUAUGUUUAAGUUGUUUGUUAAUUAGUAAAUAAUUUGUGUAUGAUAACUUUUGUAAGUAUUUCAUACUCGGGAUGAGCUCCUAAAGUGGGUUAGAAAAGUUGCGUUUGACAUUGGUUUUUGUAUUGUGAUAUUGAGAUCGGAUACUUCAACUGGCCAACGAGGAAGGAAAACAUUUGUAUUAUUAGGUUGUGAGAGAGGAGGUCAAUACAGACGAUAUAAGAAUGAUUUACAGGUUACUGAGAGUGGAACUAGGAAAUGUGGUUGUCUUUUCAGAUUACGAGGGUAUCCAGUAAAGAGUGGUGAAGGGUGGAUAUUGAAAUUAAUUUGUGGGUCUCAUAAUCAUGAGUUGAGAAAUACAUUGGUUGGUCAUCCAUAUGUUGGUAGGUUCACAUGUAGUGAGAAGUCAAUGCUUAUGGACAUGACAAAUUCGGCAGUUUACCGGAUCCAUAAAUUCGGAAGCUUACCAGAUCCCAAAAUCCAGAACAUUCCCGGAAUCAUAAAUUUGGGAUUCUAUCGGAUGCAUCAGUUCGGAAUGUGAAAAAAUGAUUACGGAAACAUAAAUCCAUGGAAAAAACGAAUGUCUAAAUCCGAAAACAGAAAAAUUUACUUACCUUUGCCAAGAGAAUGAAGAAGAAACCUCACAAAAAAGGAUUGUGUGAGAUUCAAAGGAGAAGAGGAAGAGGAAUGUGGAGGUGUCGUCGCUGCUAUGGAAGAGGAAGAAAAUUGCCUGCGUAAAAAUUAGAACAUCAACGCUGCUUUCAUUUUAGGGUUUUUUUAGAUUAGGGAUAUGUUUGAAAUUUUAAAAACUAAUAAGGGUGAUUUCGUCUUUGUAGAAGAGUGUGGGGGUGCAGGAAGAAACAACCGAAAAUAUUCUAGAAUAUAAUGCUAAAAACCAAAACCUAUUCUAAAAGACUGUUUCUUCCUGCACCUCCAUAUCUUCUUGCCACCUCCAUACACAAAAUGAAAAUACAUUUUUAUCCCUCUUAUGUCACCCCCAUAUAGUAGUUUCCAGAUUAUGUAAUUCGAAACUCAUUUGAAAAAAGACUUCUGGAUUAUGUAAUCUGAAAAUUAAUCAUGUAUAUGAAAAAAGACUUCCAGAUUAUGUAAUCCGGAAGCUAAUUACAAAUUUGAAAAAUGAAUUUCAGAUUACGUAAUCCAGAAUAAUAUAGAGGGUCAUUUUUUGAAAUUUGAAAAUAUAUGGAGGUGAGAUAAGAAGGUAUGGAGGUGAAGGAAGAAAUAGUCAUUCCAAAAUAACUAUCUAGAACAUACCAAACAAUUUUUGGAAAGUUGAUUUUGGAAUGCAAUCUUGUCCCAAAAUUACGUUUUGGAAUGCCUAUUCCAAAAUUGUCUUUUUGGACUCCGAUUUCCAAAAUCAUCUUUUUUGCCAUUUCAUCCAAUAUUACUAAAAAAACAAAUCUUCAUACCUAAAAAUCACCUACCAUUGCUUCUAAACAUCACCACCACACCUCGUAAGAGUUAUCCCUUGCCUCCACCACCCAACUUCACCCAACACCUUCAGCAAACACUUCCAUGGAGAUAUCACCUUUCAAAUCAAACUCACAUGAACAAAUUUAAUAUUUCAGAGUUUGUGGGGUUGCAGGUUUAAAUUGAGGGGUUCAAGAAGUAAUUAUGUAAGGUUGAAUGGGAUUGGCCCAGGAUGAUAUUAGCAAGGAUAUGGGAUUUUUAUCCAAAGUGGGCUUUAGGUUCUUGUAAAAUUUCUUACACUUUUUGAAAAUUAUAAUUGAUUUGUACAAAGAAAUUAUUUUGAAUAGUGUAAGAAGUUUUGGUUAUUUAUAAUAUUAUUUACAGAUUUCAGAAUAUGGAAUGUAAAAAUAAAUUGACAGAUGGGCUUAGCAACAGAAUACGGAAAUUUUCUUUUUGCCAUUUCUAUGAUCUCCACCCGCACCUCCAUAAACACCGCAAUAAGCAAUAACGGUAAUCCACAUUGAUAGGGAUGGGCAUGGAUUGGAUUUUCCAAAAUCCAAUCUAGAUCGAUUAAUUAUAUUAAAUUAAAUUCACAUUUGUUAAUUAUAUUAAAUUUACUUUGUCAAUUAUAUUAAAUCUAUUUUGAUAUGGAUAAAGAAAAACUUGGCUCGAACUGGGCCUAAGCCGACUCAACCUGAAUACAGACCAACUCGGCUCAACAUCGGCUCCGACCCAGACGACUCAACAUCGGUCCAGGCCCGGACGACUCAACAUCGACUUGGGCCCAGACAACUCAACAGCAGCCCCGACCCGGACGACUCGACAUCGGCUCGGGCCCGAACAACUAUACAUCGGCUCGGCCCGAACGACUCGACAUCCGCCUAGGCCCGAACAACUCGACAUCAGCCUCGGCCGAACGACUGGACAUCAGCCUGGGCCCUUCGACAUCGGCUCGGGCCCGUUCGGCUCAACAUCAGCUUAAGCCCACUCGCCUCGACAUCGGCCCGGGCCCGCUCACCUCGACAUCGGCCCGAGCCCACUCACCUCGACAUCGGCCCGGGCCCCCUCGACUCGACAUCGGCUCGGGCCCACUCGACUCGACAUUGGCCCGAGUCCGGUCGACUCGACAUCGGCCCGGGCCCGAUCGACUCGACAAAAGCCUGGGCCCGGUCGGCUCGACAUCGACCCGGGCCCGGUUGCCUCGAAAUCGGCCCGGGCCCACUCGACUCGACAUCUGCCCGGACCCAGUUUGAUUGACAUCGGCCCGGGCCCGCUCGACUCGACAUCGGCUCGGGCCCACUCGACUCGACAUUGGCCCGAGUCCGAUCGGCUCGACAACGGCCCGAGCCCGAUCGACUCGACAAAAGCUUGGGCCCGGUCGACUCGACAUCGGCCCGAGCUCGGUCGACUCGACAACGGCCCGGGCUCGGUCGGCUCGACAUCGGCCCGGGCCCGGUCGCCUCGACAUUGGUCCGGUCCGGAUCGUCUCAACAUCGACCAUACCUGCUCACUUCGACAUCGAUUUGGAUUCGCUCGGCUUGACAUCGCCCUGGCCCUGAAUGACUCAAAAUUGGCCCGAGCUCGCACGACUAGACAUCAGCUCGGGCUCGCACGACUCAACAUUGGCCCAAGCUCGAAUGACUAGAUAUCGGCCCUGGCCCCCUCGGCUUGACAUCGGCUUGGACCCGCUUGGCUCGACAUCAGUCCGGGCCCACUCGGCUUGACAUCGGUCCGGGCCCAUUCAGCUUGACAUCGGUCCGGGCCCAUUCAGCUCGACGUGGACUUGGGUCAACUUUGCUCAACCUGCGCCUGAAUUUUCUUGGCUCAACCUGGAUCGGGCCAAGUCAAAAUCCAACCCAAAAUAGAAAGUGAAUAAUCCAAAAAUGUAUCAAAUCCAUAUCUAAUCCAUAUCCAAUUAAAUGAAUUGGAUUUAAAAUCCAAAAAUAUAGAUUUGGAUUUGAAAUAAAACCAUUUAAAUGGAUCAAAACUAAUAUGGAUUUGGAUAAUUAUGGAUUGGAUUUUGUAAUUUGGAUUUUUUGCUCACCCUUACACGUUGAGGGAAAAAGUUACAAAAACUACUUCACCUUUCAUAUUUUCUAAUACAAUGACUUUGGGCUUUGUAGUAAAGGUUGCUUCUUCUUGCAGCCCAUGAGUUCUUUGGCCCCCCUAUAAAUUUCAAAAUUGUCCUUAAGUAAAAAGUUCAAAAUAAAAGGUAUUUAGAGUGCUUUAUGGUUGGUAGGUGAAUGAAGAGACUAUGUGGGUUGAAGUGGUGGUGGUGGCAUUUUCAGGUGAGUUUUCAGCUUUCUUGCCUAGUUAUAGAGGUAUUAUGGAUUUUUUUUAUGUUCCAGAUUGGAUAAUUUGGGGCAUAUACGAAUUAUAAAAUCCAUAAGUUAAAGAUUUUAGAAAUUGCAUUAAUGUUAAUUCAGAUUUUGUAGUGAGUUCUGUGGUACACCAUUUGAAAUAGAAUUACUGAAUUUUGUAACUUAUAAAUUAAGUAAUAAAAACGUAGCUGAUCUCAAAUAGUGUGAAAAUGAAUUGUGUGAAAAUGAUGAUAACUUGUUUUUGAAUUAAGUUAUCUAAAGGGUCUUUUGGAAUUAUCAAAUGAUUUAUUGAUUAAUCAAUCUGAAAGAUAUCUUUAAAAUUACGUAAUUUGUUACAUUUUUUUAUAUAGAUUUUAAUGUUGUGGAUUAUGUAAUCUGGUUUCAAUUCAUUUCCAUUCUAUUUAUGUAAAUUUGGAGUUUUAAUGAAAAAAACUAACAACAAUCCAACAAUCAAAUAGCAUCAAACAUUUCAACAAAACACUCAAAAACGCAAAUAAUCAUCACUACAAAGACAAAAUCGUAAGCGAGAGAUAAAAAACUUUCAAAAACUGCGAAAAAUCACCAAAAAUAACCUCUGAGGCGCACUGAAACGAAGGAGGCCGUGAAGGUGCCCCGAGUAAGAGAAGAGAGCAGAUAGAGCAUAAAGCGUAAAGAUAAAAUUUGUAGGGUUUUGUUUUUUAAAUUAUUUAUUGAAGGGCAUAACAGUAAUGCCCAUUUAAUAUGGAGGUGCCUGAAGAAUAAUUUAAUUUAGAAAUUUAAUUUUUACACCUCUAUGACUUCCGUCCACAGUUCUAUAAGCACUGCGAUAACCAAAAUACUUUUAAUUAUUAAAACGUAUAAAACAGGAGCUUGUUUAUACACUCUGAAAAGUUUUUUCUAAUAAGUUGAGAAUUUUUAAGAUUAAUUUUCAUCAUUACAUUACAUUGGUAAUUUGAAGGUGCACGAAGAAAAUAUAGAAGUUGAGAAUGCAAUUGCACAUUUGAAGAGGCCGAACUCAAUGUUGGAUGAAAAUCUCAUACCUUUGCUAGGCUUUCUCUUCUUCUUUCUUUCAAAAAGUGAAGAUUAAGAAUGAAAGUGUAGUUGGAGGUGAAGCCAGUAAUGAUGGAGGUGCAGGAAGCAAACCCCCUUGCUAAUACCAUCGUGGCUAACCCCACUCAACCUUAUUGGAUAAUCAUUCAUUCGUACUUCAUUUCCAACAUUCAUGGUCGAAAAACCAAAAUUGUCUUGUAACAGCGAGUUGAAGUUUAUGGUUCCCUGAAAUAUGGGUGUUAAAGUUGUUAUAAUUAGCAUAAUUUCCUCGCCAGGGUUGUCUAAGUGAAAGAGAUUAUUGUUGAAAACGAUGGAAAGAAGAAAAUUGGGGAUUUGAGGAAUAAACUAGAAGAUCCAUAUCAUUGUUAAAUGAAUAGUGGUAGAAGGAAUUAGUAAAGUAAGUGAAUAUGGUUUGGUGGAGGAUGAGAGUAAAAGCAUAAUAAGAAUAAUAGAAGAAAAGAGUCACAGGUGAGAGGAACGCAUGAAAAGGUGGUAAUUGUCAACGGAGGAAGAGGGGAGAGCGACCAUGACCUUCACACUCACAGAGUCAUCCCUCACCGGCAAGAACAAACAGUACCUGUCGCAGCACACGGGUCCCACCUCCCAAGCCUUUCCCAAACCCACGUCAAUAUUCUCCAACCCUAGCCUCGACCACUGCGACACUAUCAACACCCCAACCGGGUCGGGGCUCCGUUUCAUCUCCCACACCCACUCCAUCACCUCCCUCACGUGCUCGUUCCCCACCCUCUCCUUCGCUCGCUUCACCAAACCCGACCCGAACCCCACCCCUCUCUCCUCCAGCUCCCUCGCACUCGUCUCCGCACACCCCAAAACAAAUGCGUUCCCAUAAUACCCCUCGGGCAAACCCGGCUUCACACGCUUCCGCACGUUCAUACUGAACACCAGCUUCAAUCUCUGGUUCCCCGGGAACCCUAUGGCUCUCGCCCAGCUUCUCCACACAUGCGCUGCCAGCACCUCGAACGAAGUGUACCGCGCCGACUCGCCGGGUUCGCUCGUGCACUGCGCCACGCGCUUUAACUCGUUCAGCCGCGUCUUAUCGAACGUAAUCGAGGUUGGUUUUAGCCCGGUUGAGACCUUGUUCAUGAAGCCGCAUAGGUCCGGGACUCGGCUAAACUCGGGAUGACUCUCUGAGUCCACCCGCGUCUGCUUCCCAUGCGGUGGGUUCAGAAGGUGACGCUCCCAAACUGGUUUCUGUAUGCGCCUGUAACUCGUCUCGCGUCUGUCGUUGGCUAACUCUGCGAAGUGGUUGAGGAACUCCGCGCUGCCGAUGCCGUCGCAGAGGCAGUGGUUGAUUCCGACGGCAAUUGCGGCGGCGCCGUCGACGAGCCAGGUCAGCUGAACCACCAGCGGCGGGGAGCCCUUCAGCACAUCUGCCACGUGGAGCGACAACAACGGCCUCCAGUGCGUAACUGUUUUAGGCGCCUUUUCAAAGUCGUUGGCGUUGUAACUGGCAGCGAAGGCUUCUAUGAACACCGCUCCUUGGCCCGCACACACCACCUCCAGGCCCUGGCCUUCGGGCCUGGGCCUGACCCGGCCAGCGAAUGGGUAGUAGGGAACCAGGGCCCGGGCUAAUGCCGAUUUGAGACGGGCCGUGGUGUUUGGCUGGUCCAGGCCAGGGCAAGGCUUGUAGACUAACAGAUACUCUAUGGUGAAACGAAGGAAGAGUUGUGAAUCAAGCGCUGAUAGAGCGAGCACGCCCCGUGGAGUGGGUUCAGAAGGUGUAAUCACCGAUGCUUCUUUUACACGCACGGAGCUUCCCAUUUUUGUUCAGUGAUCAAGUUUUUGUAACUUUUGCAACUUGGGCUUUGGGAAGAGAAGCUUAUAAUAGUGGUGUUGGGUGCAUAUACUGAAGAGAUGCCUGGUUUAGAACAAGCAGGUUGCGUGCGUGUGUUAGGGCGAAUACAUAUGAAGCCACAAAUGGAUGAUAUUUAUAAGGAAUAACAACAUGUGAGCUGCUCGUGGGUUCUCAUGCAGUUCUAUUACUGAAGUAAUUGACGUGAUAACAGUAAUUGUAGUACUAAAAAUCAAUCUUAGGUGGUUGAAACAUGUGUAAUAAAAUUUAUAGAAACAAAGUUACUAAAAUUCUUAAAUUCUAUGUGGGGGCCCAAGUGUAGAAUGAGAAAUUUGAGAAGAAGAGGUGUGUUGUGAAGCAUUUCUCUAGGAGCUUUAUUUUGGGGUGCCAAGAUUCUCUGGGCAUCUUUAUGGAAGAAAAAUGAAUAUGAAAACAAAUGCAGUACAGUGUAGAACAGAUGUGCCCGUUUGCUAUUUUUGUCUUUUGGGUUGGACUGAUAGCUAUUACUCCCUCCAUCUCAAUCACCCCAAGCAAGCACAAUUAUUUUUCAAACUUUUGUUUAUCACAUUGCUUACACUUGUAGGGUUUAAGAUUAGAGUAAAAAAUAUUUGCUUUACUGUACAAAAAAGUUGUGUAUUUUUGUGGUGUUUGUGAACUGUGAAAUUGUGUGAUGUUGACGUGAGUCGUUGCUUCACCGGCCUUUCUGUCAUUCUGUCCAGUUUCUGUCCCCAUAAUACUAUGAACCAAUAUUUUAAAAUGCAAUAGGGAAAAACCACUCUCUCAUAAAAGUUAAGUUUAUAUAGAAAAUAAUACAUCAUAUAUUAGGUUUAGUUAGGCAUGCAUACAUGUGGCAUACAUGUUAUUCAUCAUCUCAUAAUCAUAAAUAUCAUUUUGGUACAUUUUUUUAUUGAAAAGGUACAACUUUUAGAGGAUUUUUUUAUUUAUUUACUUCUUUAUAAAAUCUAAGAGAACUUGAGCCCGGUAUAAUAUUUUUACCUACUGUUGCAUAUUUCAAUCGCAAACCCCGAAGUCGGACAAAUUAUGGUUGCAUGGUUCCACAUAAUGGAGAACAACUUAGAGAGUGGGGUCUUGGUUUUUAUUUUUAUCUCUUCUAAGAAUAUGUAUUUUUUAUUACCUUCUUUCGUUUUAGAUAUUCGAAGGAUUCAAAUAUGGUUAGAUAUCACAGAAGCUUGGAGAAGGGAUUCUGUGCAAACAUUGCUGGUGAAGCUUUUUUGCUUCGAGGGGCUCAAAAAUACCAAUAACCAUUUUAUAUACUCGGGCCUAAUCAAGUAUCAUCAUAAAGAGCUUUUUAGCACAAUAAAAUUUAGUAAAAUGACUUCACAAUUACCUAAAUAUAAAAAUAAGUAAGAGUAAUUAUGUUCUAAUACAGUUGUAUCCAUAUAAAAUUUGGAAAUUACUUUAACCACCAUUAUAAAAAAAUAUAAAGAUUGAAUAGUAAUCUAAAAAAGUUAUAGACUGCUUUAAACCCCUGAAAGAAAUAUAAGCAAAGCUGAAACAGGUAAAACUGUAUUGCUUACGUUAAUUUGAAUAAACAUAUUUUCAACAAACAGUUGAAGCAAUAGUAAAAAGAAUUGGUUUUAUUUUCGACAGUUCUCGAACAAUUGUCAGUUGAGGUAUUUUUCUCUUUAUUUAUACUUUUUGCUAUUAGACUGUACAAAAAUUAGCAUAAGACAAAUGAUUUCUUAAUCAUAUUUUAUAAUUCUUAAUUGCAAGAUGUGAUAAGUAGAACUCUCGGGUUUCUGAUAGAACACAAACCAUACCUAAAAUAUAGACAUUAUAAAUAUUAUCUCAACAAAAUAAAUUUGUUAUAAAUUUUUAUGUAGUCUCGUAUUAUUAAAGUCUAAUUCAAUCCCAUAAAAUCAUCUCAUGAAUUGAGGUUUGCACCUAUUUACAUAUUAUAAAAAAUUUUAAUUUUUAGUCGACGUAGGAUCUUCGUGUAACUAAGAUAGUUGAAGGUGUCCGAAAGAAAACAAAUUGAAAGAAGCUUGGUUUUUCCCAUAACCUUGCAUGAGGUUGAGAAGGACAGAAGCAGAGUCUUUACCUUAGUCAAAUCCAGAACGUAGCUAUCACCGGCCAAUAAAUUCUCGUGCAGAUUCUCUAUAACGUGGUCUCCUUCAUCCACACAAGACAAAAUAUGGACAGUGAAGAGAUAGAGAUGCAUAUGGUUCUUAAUCAACGCAAUAGUACACGAUCAUAGCAGAGAUGGUAAAAAAAUAAAGUCUAUAAUGUUCAGGGGUUACAAUCGUACAAUAUUAUUUUUCUUAACAUUAUUUCUUAUUAGUGAAUAAAGCAUAGUUGAGGCCAUAGGACCUACCCUCCCCCCACUUGGAUCCAUUUCAGAUUAAGAUCAUCACCAUAUCUCCCUAAAAGGUUCAAACUAAAGGCUUGUUGUUAUUGAAAAACAAAAUCAUAGGGGUUAUCAAAAAAGUAAUAUUCUAAAUCUUGUUGCCUUUGGUUCAUCAUGGAUUUCCAUGUAAAUUUUGGUAAAUUUCCUGCACUCUUUUUCUGAUUCCUUGUUGCUUUGGCUGCCUCUUUUGUCCUGUUUCUCGCAUGCCCCUCACAUCUUUUCACAAAAGCAUGAUAUAUAUGUUAAUGAAAUAAUUAAUUAAUAAAUAAAGAAACCAUAUUUACAUAUAUCCCUAUGUUCCUAUUUUGAAGGAACCUGGCUAGCUAUAUACCCAUUGGGAGUGUGUAACGCUGAUUUGAAGGUUUUGUUAUGGACAGUGAUAUAUUACUUAAUUAGCCAUGCAGAAGAGGAUAAUAUAAGGAUCAGUCCAAAAAAAAAACAAGAGUCCAAGUGCAUGCCACUAUAAACGACAGAUUAACAAGCCAUGUAUGAGAAUUAGAAUCAAAUACAGAAUAAAUAAUCACAAAAUUAUUUAUAAUCGACGCAAAAUUCGAAUAUUUUUUUAGAAAAAAAAAUACUAAUAUAAGUACAGAGAUAAAUAACAAUUUACCUUGACUGUCUUGACUAUUAUGGCUGCGCUUAUCUACCCUUUUGGUUGGGAGAGGGGUUUGUGUUUUUGCAGUCAAAUAAACGUCUGCAUAAGAGGUUGGACACCAAGCAUAGACAGACAUAUUUUGUUCUAUGAUGAUCAGAAGUUGUUCGGUUUUUUGCUUGUUAGGAAGACUGUUAAUGUUAUUCAUAUAAUAUGCACAUGAUUUUUACAUUCUUGGUUUUUUAAUUUGUGAGGUUUCUUUGUAAUGUGUAAAGGGGUCAUUUCUAACAUUACAUUUUAUCCAUUUUUUUUAUAAGGCACAUUAGGAUGGGUGUUUGGUAACUAUUUUAAGUGCUUGGUAGCCAUUUUUUUUACCUUUUUUAAUCCGACUGGGUUUUUUUUUUUGGAUUGUAGGUUUGGAGAUUAGAUUAUAUUAGAAUUUUUUUUAUAAGGAUCGAAGUAUAUGGUUUUGACAUGAAUAAUAAUAUGAUUGACGAAUUUUGAUAAAUAUUUGAUGAUUUGGGGAAGUUCAGAGUUUAUUGAAGUUGAAAUUAUGAAAGAUACUAAUAAUAAUAAAGUUUAUAUAUAUAUAUAUAUAUAUAUUAAAUACUAUGCAAAACAUUUGUAUAUAUAUAAGUCAUUUAUUUAUUUUUAACUUUGAGAACAUUAGUCACUUAUUAUUUCUUUUAACUCUUAUUUGGUAAUAAAGGUAUGACAACUCAUCAUAACAGUUCGUUAUUAGUGAAUGAAGAAAAAAUGAAACGUUAUAAGAAAAUGCAUGAUAUUUGAGGUAUUUGAAAUUACACGAACAAUAUUAUUUUUAGAGGUAAGGUGGUGGAAGUAGAUGAACUUUUUACAGUGACACAAAUGAAUGUUUGGGUGUGGAUUAAACACAAAUACUUAGUGUCUUCACCCAAUUAAAUAUUUGAAAUCUGUUAAGUAAUUAUUCUUCUUGCAACUUUUAUAUCUUUUACAGGUUAGUUAUUCAUCAUAGUAUGAAUACAAGCUUGUAUGCAUUCAACUUUAGAUGCAUGAGUCUCAAGUUGAACAUUUUAUUUUCCAAUUCUUUAAGAAUAGUUUGAUUUUAGAAUAGAAAGAUUAUGUAAUAUGUUUUGGAUCUUGGAUUAUAUUUGCUUUAUAAGUAAGUGUAUCGCUUUAGCUAUGAUUUGGUUAGGAAUGGAAAUUUUGUAAUGCCAAAGAAAUUUUUAUGUAUAUGGUUAAGUCACCUUAUGAGAGAUCUUGAAGUAUUUGGCACGUAAUGUGACUUUUUUUUAGAAAUAAUUUUAUAUGUAAUAUGUCAUUUUUUAUUACAAAAUAAAAAAACAAAAUCUAAAUUUAAAAAUUUAAAAUACAAAUUUUCAAUUUUAGAUCGUGAAUCCCAAAGUUUAUUAAAUGGAAUAACAAUAUACAUUAAAUGGUCAUCCUACCUCUUAUAUGAGGUCAAAACUUCUCCCUUAGUCAGCAAUACUUUCUCAAACUUAAUUAAAUUAGAUUUAAAAAUAUAAACAAUAAAUUUACAAUUGCACAUCUGCUUCAAUUAAUAUUUGAUUUCUUUUGUUUUACUGCAUUUUCGUAUGUAGAAAAAAUGACGAAAAAAAUGUGCGUUAUUCGUUUUCUAAAAGGUUGGUUUUGGAGUUUUCAAAAAGGUUGGUUUUGGAUGAAUUUGUAAUUAUAUUUUUUUAGUAGGUGUUAUUAAAAUAUAUUUUAUUAAUUUUUAAUUUUAAACUUAAAAAAUAUUAUUUUGAAUUUUAUAGUCUGAAUUUUUAAUAAAGGUCUUUUUUAGAUUUUACAAUCUAAAACUUAACUUUUUCUAAUUAUAAAUUAUACUAUCAAAAAUUAUAUUUAAUUUUCAAAAUAUAAAAUCUGUGACAACAUUGAAAUUAUAACUACUAUUUUAGAAAGGUCAUUAACAACAUUAAAAUUAUAAUUACUAUUUUAGAAGGGUCAAUCUGAAUGGGUUUCGGAUUGUUUCAAUUGAAAAAAAACGGUAGAAGAUUUGUUAGUUAUAAAAUAAAAGAAACAAACUAAUCACUUUUAAAAAAAUGGAAGCAAAAGCGUCUGAGCCCAUAGAAUAACUGAGCUAAGAUUGGACCUUUAUGGGCUUAAGUGUAUAAAGUACGUCACUACGGGAUUUGUUUUUGUACCCUAUAAUUUCCUUCUGCAACCAUGCAAUUUCUUUCUCCAUUCUGACUUUACCUUUAUGAAAGAAUAACUUUUGAACUCUGUAAUCUCUUUCAAAUUAUGUAAUUAAGAUGAAUUUUUGAUAAAUAGAUUUUACAAUAAAUUUUGUUUUAAAUUUUCGAAUUAUACAAUUAGAAACUUAUUUCUUUUAUGAAAAAGAAGGUUUUCGAGUUGCAUAAUUUUAAAAUUAUUUUUUACUUUCAAAUUGUAUAAUUUACAAACUUCUUUUAUUUUUUAGAUUAUACCAUUUAAAAAUUAUUUUUUUUCAUAAAAAAUAAGUUUUCAUAUUACAUAAUUUAAUUUUUUUUUAAAGAAAAUUUUGAAUUGUGUCUUCUACAUAAUUCAAAACAUUUUUUUUUAUCCAUUCACAAAACACAUGAAAAAGAUGACAACGAUAAUAAAAAUGACAUAACAGAUGGUACAAUGAUACAACGUUAAGAAAGAUGACAACGACGAUAACAAAUAUAAUAACAUAACAAAUGUUAGGCAAAAACUAAAGACAAUAAAAGAAUAAUUUGAUUUUUUUAAUCAGAAAGAUUUGCACAUAAAAAUUAUAAAGAAAGCAAUAACCCGUAUCCACCAUAGACAACUUCUAUUAGAAAAAAAAGACACUGUAUGAGAAAAAAUGAGGAGAUAAUCUUAUGAGAUAUAUGCUAUCAAGUUAAAUGGACCAUAGUAAUUUUAAAUAGUCAAAAUUAAAUUUUAAAAUUAACUCAUUUUGAACAAAGAAAUUAUUUAUAUUUAAAAAAUUAAAAAGAGUUCUAGAAUGGGUGGUGCACAGCAUAAAGACAAAAUGAGACAGAAGCAAAAAGUGUUUACUUGUGCAAGAUAGGGAAUUGUCUCAUUCACUCUAUCUUCCUGAGGCAGAAAGUGUCUAACCCUAAACUAUGGUGCUCACAUGUAUCUUUUCUAAUGUUUAAUAUUUUAGUGUUAUUUAAUUUGAGGAUGUUAGGAAUAAGAAGUCAUGGUGGAUACUUCUAAUGGCUAGAAUUGGGUUCAAAAUGAGUCCCAAAGGAGGGUUCAACUACCUGACAUUCUCACAUGCAAACAUAAAUGUUCUUCCAUUUCAUUAUUUUUAAAUUGGAUGAGUUUUUUAGAGUUAUAAUAUAUGUUAGUGUAUAAUAGUCUAUGUUUUAAUUAAUCACAUCAUGUUAAUAAAUGUAUGUGUAUUCUCGAGGAUUGAGUGAGAAAGGGUAAAGAAAUAUUAUUCUUUAUUCAGUGUUUUACAUAGGAUCAAAACAUGUAUUUAUAAAAGAAAAAACUUAUGUGAAGAAACUAUGUGAUUCUACUAUCAAUAGUAUAUCUAACACUCUUCAAUAGAUUUAUGAGGGACUUAUCAACUAUCCGAAGUUUAUCUUUAAAUUUUUAAAACAUUGUCCCAGACAAGGGUUUCAUUAGAACAUCGACGAUUUAAAACUGAGAAGGAAGAUGAACUAACAACAACGGUUUAUUCUGAACAUGAUCACAAACGAAAUGCAAGUCUAGCUCAAAUUGUUUAGAGUGUGAAUGCAGGACAGGAUUGGCAGCAAUAUGAACGACGCCGAGAUUAUCAGAAUGGAUUGUUGGAUUAGAAGAAGUGAUGCGUAGUUCGGUCAUCAGUGAUUGAAUCAAGAUAAUAUCAGCAAGAGCAGCUACAACACUUCUAUACUCAGCCUCACUACUGCUUCUGGAGACAACUUUUUGUUUCUUUAAGGACCAAGACACAAGAUUGUGACCAACAAAGAUGCAAUAUCCCAUGGUAGACUUGCAACAUCCAAGUCAGUGGCCUAGUCGGAAUCACUGAAACCAGUCAUAGAGUAGGUUGGUGAAGGAGUUAAGAGAAGAUCGUGAAUGGAAAUACCAGCCAAGUAUCGCAUAAUACGUUUCAUAGCUUUCCAGUGAUGAAUAUGUGGCUUAUGCAUGUACUGACAAACCCGCUUAAUUGAAAAGGAGAUUUCAGGUCUGGUAAUAGUAGCAUAUUGCAAGGCACCAACAAUGGAUUGAUAUAAAGUUAGAUCAUUGAAGAAGACAGACUCAUUAGCAGUAAGUCGCAGAGAAGAAAGCAUUAGAGAAGGUUGAGACUUAGAGUUAACCAUGUUUGUGCGACGUAGAAGGUCUUUAAUAUAUUUAGCUUGAGAUAGGUGAAUAGAAUUGUCUUUAAGCCAAGAAACUUUGAUUCCUAAGAAGUAAUGUAGCGGUCCAAGAUCCUUUAGUGCAAAAUAUGAGCCUAACUGUUUGAUGAAAUCCUACACUAAGACCCAAGAAGUACCAGUAACUAAGAUAUCGUCAACAUAAAUUAGUAUAAAAAUAGUGUUAUUUUUAGUAAACCUUGUGAAGAGAGAAAUGUCACUCUUGGCAGCAAUUAAGCCCAAAUGAAGAAGAUUUGUAACAACUUUUGAAAACAGGCAUGAGGUGCUUGUUUGAGACCAUAUAUGGCUUUAUUCAAUUGGUAAACAAGAGUAGAGUCAGUAGAGAAUCCUGGUGGUUGUUGCAUGUAGACAAGAGAUGAUAACUCACCAUGGAGGAAAGCAUUCUUGAUAUCAAUUUGAUGAAUUGGCCACCGUGAAGUCAACGCAAUAGUUAGGACUAGGUGGAUAGUGGUAGGCUUGAUGACAGGGCUAAAAGCAUCAGUAAAGUCAUAACCUUCAAAUUGUUGAAAACUUUUGGCGACAAGCCUUGCUUUGUAGCGUUGAAGAGAGCCAUCAGAGUUAUAGUUCAGUUUAAAAACCCAUUUACAACCAACUAAAUUUGCACCAGCAGGCAAUGAAGUAAGAGUCCAUGUGUUGUUUUGAACAAGAGCAUGAUAUUCAGAUUGCAUUGCAUUAAGCCAUUGAGGAUGAGUCAUAGCUUGUUUGUAAAUUGACGGUUCAAAAUAAUCAUUAGUCACAAAAGUAUGGAGAACUUUGGGUUUAGAUAUACCUGCCUUAGCACGAGUUAUCAUGGGAUGAAAAUUGGUAACAUGAAUAGGAGAAGUAAUCUGACAAUGAUUAUCAACAGUAGAUAAAGGUGAUGAUGUAUUAUUUGUAGUUAUAGGAGAAGAACAAUUAGAAAUAGAAACCACAGUUAUAGGUAAAGAAGAAGAGGAAGAAGCAAUAGUAUUACUAUCAUUAUGAAGAAUGAAAGGAUUAUUAUGCAUGGAAAAAGGAAACAAAUAUUCAAUGAAAAUCACAUGUCUUGAGAUAAUAGUCUUUCCCGAAGGAGUUAGGCAAACAUAUCCUUUGUGUGUAUUGUUAUUGUUAUAACCUAGAAAUAAGCACAAAGACAACUUAAAAACAAACUUAUGUUGAUUGUAAGGUCUCAAAAGAGUAUAGCAUGCACACCCAAAUAUACAAAGAAAGUUAUAAUUAGAUUUAUAGGAAAACAACUUAUCAUGAGGACUAACAUUAUCUAAAACAGAAGUAGGUAAAAGAUUAAUAAUAUGAACAACAAAGACAAAUGCCUCAUCCCAAAAUUUAAGAGGAAGAGAUGCAGUAGUAAGAAGGGCCAAACCUGUGUUAUGACCGUGUUUGUAUUUGACAGAUCCAUUUUGUUCAGGAGUGUGUGGACAGGUAAAUCUAUGAGUAAUACCAUGAUCAUGCAAGAUUUUCACUAAAGAAAUAAACUCUUUAUCAUUAUCAGUUUGAAGACAUUUAAUGAGAAAACCAGUUUGUUUUUCAGCAAGUAAUUUAAAAUGCAAAAAAAUAGUAAUGGCUUGAGAUUUAGAAGUUAUGAGAUACAACCAAGUGUACCUAGAAAACGCUUCAAGAAAGGUGAUGUAAUACAUGGAUCCAUCACUAGCAGUUAUGUGUGAGUGACCCCAUAUAUCUACAAAAACUAAUCGAAGAGGAGCAGUAUAGAGAGUGUGUGAAAGUAAAAAAGGCAAUUGAUGAAUUUUAGUAAUAACACACGAAUCACAGAAAGAAGAAUUUGUAUUGCAUAGUAUAUUGUUCAUUUGCAUAACACUUUGCACCGUUCUAAAUGAAGCAUGAACAAGUCUUUUAUGCCACAAUUCAUACGGAGUCAUAAUCGAAUUGUGAGAAGUAUUAUUAAUAGAGGGUGGCAGAGAGUUGUAAUGAGGGAAAAACAUAUAAGUCAUCACGUAUGUUUCCUUGGAGAAGAAUCUCCUUUGUAGCCUGAUUUUUAACAAAACACUUAUUAGGAUAAAAUUUAAAGUGUGGUAAAGAUGAAAUGUAAUUACAUGUAGUUUUUUUUUAUCUUGACGAUAAGUUCUUUAAUUAUUUGAUCUUUAAUUUGAAAAAAAAAAAAAUUAAUAAUUCUUGUAUUUUACCAUUUAAUUUUUUUAUUAGGAAAUAAUAAAGAAAUAUUUUAAGAAUACUACAAUUUUUAUAAAAGAGAAGUUAUUAAGUCACCAUUCAUGAAGAAUACUGACUUUCCUCUAUACAUUUAACAAAAUGUGCUUACACUACACACUCCUGUAAUGGCAAAGAGAGGGGACAAACCUCAAUAAAAAAAGUUGUCUUAAAGAAGCUUAAAAACACAACUGAAAAGAAGAAUGAGAAUCAUAACCUAUACACAGAUAUACACAAAUAAUAUUGCACCCUCUUUUAUCCAUAAUGUCAAAAAACUUACAAGACGCAUACACGUUUAUGACAUGGAGAAGCAAAAUAUCAAAAAAAUCUUCUCAAAUAUGAUAAAUUUGAUCCUCAUUUAUCCUCUUUUAAUUUUCUUUGUUGGUUUAUACAUCUAGUUCCAUUGGACUACUUUAUAAAUCAAAGUCUAGAAUUUUGUUGCUCAUCUGCAAAAACAUACAACAACAGAAUACCUUCCCCAACAGAUAAACUAACACAUAAACGAUUAUAUAAGUAAAGAAAAAUCAAAAAUUCUAAACCGCAAUUCACUCUAACAAAAAUAUUUGAGACAUAUGAUUGUGUUAAGUGACCAAUCCGAGAAGGAGAAAGUGAAAGUUGUAUAUUUACUCUUCAUUCAUAACCAAGUCUUUAGUUAAGCCAUUUACAGAAUUUUAUCGUCAUCAACUAUCCUUUGUCUAAAGACUACCUCAUUCCUAAGAACCCAUAUAUGUAUUUUUGUUUUAACCAUUAUAAUUAGUUUGUAAUUUAUUACGAAAAUACUAGACUACUUAUUAUGAAAAAUAAUUAUAAUAAUCAUAAUAAAUUGUGAUAAAAUGAUGUUUUUCCAUUAAUGAUAGUGACAUGAUUGAUGAUUUUCAUAUUUUUUAUAUUUGAAUGAUAAUUUCACCCUUUUCCAAAUUUUCACAACUCCCACUUUAACAUAUAUACAUUAAGUAGUGUUCCAUUUAAUAAAGUUAAAACAUUCUUAAAAUUGUCCAUUUAAUUUUAUUUAAUUUAUUUUUUACUGAUAAAAAAAAUAAUGUUAGUAUCAUCUAUCAUCUUUUUGAAAAUAUUGGAUAUUCUAGUUUUUUUGAAAAUAUUAGUUAUCCUCCCUCGACCAUGCUACAAUCGAUUGAAACAUUUUGACUAUUCACUUAUUAUAUCUUUAAUUACUCGUUCAACUUUUGUUUCGUUUGUUCUAGCUAACAACACUAUAUCAUUCCCCUACACACCUUGUUCGACUUCUCCUUCAUUCUUGAGUAAAAAAAAUCAAACAAACCUAAAUCUAGAUCACUUUCUAUCCACUUUUCUUGAUAUGAACAUUUCGUUAACCCUUCUCCACUUACUAAAAGAAUUUCACAUGUCAUAGUCUCAUAAGUUAAUCGAAAAGUUUAAGAAAUAAUAUGUAUAUAGGAAUUUUCAUACAAUUCCUUCCUCCACGGUGAUAUUCCCUUCUUUGAAGUAGCUAUCUCCCAUUUUUCUUUCUACCAGUGUCUACAAUGAUUUCUUUUCAGAUUACAUCAUUUACUUGUUAUUGCCAAAAAUAGAAAAAAUCCAGUCAUUCCCAAAUAUGAAAAGCUCUAGUGCAAAGUACACAAAAAAAUAGAACGGAAAUCGUGAAUGGUCUGUGCAUACAAGUUGGAAGAGAAACUAUAGGUAUAGGAUAAAUGUCUUUUGUGGCGUUCAGUAUUAGUUGGAAGUUCACCAUGGUAAAUGAGCCAAAAAAGAACAGUUAUUUUUGUAGGACAAAAACCUUCGAAACAUAUAUAGUCAUGCCAGUUCAAUGAAGGAACUGUACUUAUAUAUGUGUCUACUUAGCAGACACUUAACCAUCUUUCUAGUUUUCAAGAAUAAUUACUUCCGACAUUAGUAACAUUUACCACAACUUCCAUGCAAGUUAUUGUGUGGCCAAAAUAAGGGUGGUAGGAAUGCAAGUGCCAAGUGUUACCAUAAAAAUACUUCAGAUGAAUAUCUACCCAUUAAUUAAUUUAUUACCACUCUGCUACGUUUAUUAAUCUGCUUGCCCUUGUUUUAACUAACAGUACCCUAAUCCUUUAUAUUAUAUAUAGAUAAUAGAUAAUUAGCAAGAUGGCCCUUAAUUUGAACUGUGAUUAAAGUUGUGCAACGUUAGUAGUAGUCAAAAUUUGGCACAAGAGGUGGCAGUGGAGUAAUGAGUUUAAGUGCCUGGGAAAGUAGCGGUAAUAAUUUUUUUGGUAAACAGUAAACAGCAUGAGAGUGGUGAAGUUGCAGAAGUGUGAAAAGAGAACUUGACUAAAAGGGAAAAAACGAAGAAAAGAAAGAAGCGAUUCCGAGGCAGUGUGUCUUUAUUCGAUGCAGAGCGAUGAAUGGGUUACUUUUUCUCUCUCCCUAUAUAAAUUGCAUGUUACACCGCCCUAUUCCACCAUUGACAGGGAUGACAUCCAACCCUUUCAGCAGAGCCUCCUCUUUGGACUAAUCAACAUCAAACGCUGAACGAGGUACCCAAGGGUCUCCAUCUUUCCCCUCAGAUUAAAAACUGGGCCCAACCAAUGGCCUCUCUCCAACCUCAACCCCAAGAAACCAAACCCACCGCCACCACCGCCACGCCCUCCACUCCCAGCCAAACAUCUAACACUUCCAACAGCACCAAUGACACCACCAACAACAAAAGUACUCGUAAAUGCAAAGGCAAAGGUGGCCCUGACAACAACAAAUUUAGGUACCGCGGCGUUAGACAACGAAGCUGGGGCAAAUGGGUCGCCGAGAUCCGCGAGCCACGUAAGCGCACGCGCAAGUGGCUAGGCACCUUCGCCACCGCUGAAGACGCCGCCAGAGCCUACGACCGCGCCGCCCUCAUCCUCUAUGGUUCCCGGGCCCAGCUCAAUCUCGAACCCUCCGGUUCCUCUCCUCACUCUUCCUCAUCCCGUACCACCUCUUCCACUCAAACCCUAAGACCCUUGCUUCCCCGCCCCACAGGCUUCGCUUUCAAUUUUCCCUUCCACGCCGCCGCCCUGCCCUACCCUUGCGCCGGCGUGUAUGCCACCACUUUCAAUUACACCCAUCAGGUGAUGUGCCCUAACGAGAAUAGUAAUAAUACAGUGCAUGUUCAUCAUCAUCAUCAUCGUCGUCCUGAGGAAGUGGUGCAAGUGUCGCAUGCUCUAUCAACAUCAUAUCAAAAUUCGGAAUCUGAUGUGAGUUUAGGUGGGAAUAAUACUACUGCUGAUAGUUCCAGUAGAUCAACCUCGUACCAAAGGCAUGGUCAUCAGGAUAAUAACCGUGUGCAUGCUCAACAUAGCGAUUCAUCGAAGCAUCAGCAACAUCAGAACAGCGUUGUCGAUGGAGUGGAUUCCGCUGUGGGUUCGGGUGAAUCUUCUCAGGUAAAUAUGGAGGCUUCGGUGGAUCCGGAUCUGUCGUUGGUGGGGACAGUGGGGCUUGGAUCUUCUUCUUCUGUGUGGCCGUUGGCGAGUGAGGCUGAUUACAGUGGCAGUUUGUGGGAUUAUAAUGAUCCUUUCUUCUUUGAUCCUUCGGAGAAAUUUUAGUUGCAAUUUCUUGAUUAGAUGUGUUUGUCGGAAUCGUUAAUCGAUUGAUUAGAUGGUUUGGACUUGGUAACAUAUAGUACAUGGUGAAGGAGGAUCACAUAUAGAUUGAAACUUGGUGAAUAAAGUGUUGGGUACACAACGCUGAAGCAGACGCUGAAAGUUUAUUGCUUGUUAGUAUUAGUAUUAAUAAUUAAUUAAUUGUGGAUAAUGAGGAUGGUAGAAAUAUAUUAGUUUUCCUAGUUUAGAUUUAGUGCAGAUGGAAAAUAAUUGCAGACAACCCAAAUGCAUUCUGUUGCUGCUGCUUGGGAACGAAUCCAGGGUUAUCUUAUCAUUUCUCUCAUCCCAUGUUGAGGUAAGCCUUUUCGAUUAUUUGGAUUUCAAAUGUAUGAUAUCAUAAUACAUCUACUCAUUGUUGCCUUGGAUCAUAUCUUUCUUACUUUUUCAUUCAAUUUUAACUGUGGCAACCAGUACUUGAGAAAUUUAAUGGAUGAAAAAAAAAGUUCUUCUUCUUUUUUUGGUAAAUGCAUGUUCUUCUUAGUUUGUCUUUUUACACCUUUUCUAUUUAAUCUACUCCAAAUUGAAUCUACACAAUUGUGUUCUUCUCGCAUGAACAAAUAUUGAUUUGGGGAAUGUUUUGCAAGAGAUUUGAAACUAGUUUAGUGAUUACAAGCUCUUUAGGGACUACAAACUCUUUAGUUUAUUGUUGUAUGUCUAAUUUACUUUCUUAAAAUUUAAGUAGUAUAAGUUAUUUUUUGUCCUUUUAGGAAGUUUUAUAAUUAAUUUUUUAGCAAGUUUGAUGUAAUCAAAAUUUAAUAAAUAGAUGCUGAUCUAGGGGCUAUUUUCUUAAAUACGUUUUUAAUAAAUUAUUUUGAGUCUCUUUUUCAUAAUUUCGUUUGAAUAGGAAGGAUAACUUAUACACACUUGUAAUAAAAAAAAAAUGAAGGAUAAAUAGUAAAUGUGAAGUUGAUUUGAAAUUGGUUUCAUACUUAGUUGGUGAGAUUUUUUGUGUAUUAUUAAAACAUGAUUCUAAUGUACUUUAUAAUCUCAAUCUUGAGGAAAAAUACUUGAAAAUUUUGGAGACAAGAUAUGAGUGUUGCCUCUACAAUUGUGAUAUUAUAUUAUUGUAUAGGUUAUAGAUCUUAAAUUCAAUUUAAGAAGUUGGUUUAAAAGCAAACUAGUUUUUAAAAAAUGUGGAAUCAUAGGUGGCAUAUUGUUUUCAUAGUUAUGAAGUUUUUUUUAGCCUGUCCUCCAAACUUAAGUUUGUAUUUAUUUAUUUAUAUUAAUUUAUCAUCUUAUUUCUUUAUCAUUCUAUAUGAUAAAUUUAAUAUACAUUUCUUUAACAUUCUAUAUGAUAAAUUUAAUAUACGAAAACAGGUGAGUUAUGAAAUAAUAUAACCUCCAUUUUUCAUGAAGUUAGUGGUAACAUUCUAGAUUAAUGUCUGUAUAAAGGUAUGAUGAUAUCUUUUUGUAGUCUGUCCACUGAAUGUCUUUUAAAAUGUUUAUUUCUUUAACAUUUUGGAUGAUAAAUUUAAUAUUCCAAAACAUGUAAAUUUUUAAAUGUUUUAACCUCCACUUUUCAAUAAGUCAGUGGUAACAUUCUAGAUUAUUUUUAUAGGAAUGAAGUAUUUUUAGAGUCUGUCUACCAAACAUUACUCUGUAUUCAGUUUUUUAUUUCUUUAUCAUUUGGAUGAUAGAUUUAAUAUUGGGAAACAUGUGACUAAUGAUAUAGCAUCCAUUUUUCAUUAUGUGUCAGUUGCUUACCUUCGUUUUAAAAACUUGUAUAUCCUUUAUUUUACUUUUGCCCAUCUUCAUUUUUUUUAUAUAUUUCAUCUGUCUUCUUUACUUUCAACUAAAGCUAGGUUUGGCUUAUUUUAUUAAAUUAUGUCAUUUAUGAUGAAAGGUCUAAUAAGAAUGAAGAAAAUUUAAUAUUUAUAUUAUACUCUUUUCUCUAUUUGAAAAAUGUAUUGAACAAAAAAUAGGAUUAAGCAUAUAAUAUUUAUAAACAAAUUAGUUGAUUGAAAUGUAUUUGACCUAUGAUAUUUUCAUUAAAUGUUAUUUUCCAAUAAAAACUAAUAAAUUUCAUUGCAACAUUCUACGUAUUGAGUUUAUGAGUGGUUUUAGUUGUAUGAACACUCUUUUGACAAUUUAUUAUACCUGAAUGCCUCACCCUUUUUUAAAUUAAUUUCUGAGACUGUUAUGCUUUUUACAUUGAAGAUGUUUAAAGUACAUCAAGAUAUGAAAUAUAAGUACACUAUUCCAUCAAAUCUUUUGAAAUAGUCUAGUAAAACACUAAUGUUUGAAAUUGUGAUAACUUAAUAAAUUGAUUUAUAUAAAAUUAAUGUAAUAUAUAGUCUUUGAAAUUAGAUACGAUUGAUUAUAAGUAAAAUAAUAAUGUAAUCCUUGAUUAUAAGUUAUUAAUCAAAUCAAUUUUUUAGAUCGUAUUAGUAAAACGGAUUGGUCAUUUAUUGGAAAUGCUUAAUCGUCCUUGAUUUAAACAAUACAAAUAUCUUCUUUAAUACUUUACCUUUUUUUUAAUAAAUUUAAUUUAUUUUUGAGAAAUUUUAAUACUUCUUAUUUAUUGUUAUUUUUUAUCGUCAAUAAAACAUAAUAAAUAAAAUAGAUAUUUCAACUCAUAAAAAAGAGUAAAAAAGGUAGAGCAAAUUUAGACCCUAAACCCUAAACUUAUUAUAACUUUGAAGACUAAAUUCAAUGAUAAUUUAUGAUUUUAAAUAUAAUUUUAUCAUUUAUUUUAAGUAUUUAAGUGUUAUAUAGUUUAUAAGGUAGAGCGAGUUUAGUAACUAGUUAUUAUAAAUUUGAAGACUAAAUUGAUUGAUAAUUUAUGAUUUUAAAUAUAAUUUUAUCAUUUAUUUUAAGUAUUUAAGUGUUAUAUAUAUAGUUUAUUUUUUGGAGUUAACUUUUAUUUUCAAAAUGUGGUAUUUAAAGGUUUAAAUUUAUUUAUAACUUAAGGACAUUUUUUAAAGGUUAUUUUUUAUUUUAUUAAUUUUAAAAGCUUAAUGUAAUCUUAAAGAAUAAAUUUAUAAUUCAAUUUAUUAAUAAUUUUGAAAAAAUAUAACUCUUAUCAAAUUGUCUAUUCUUCUUUUCUAUUAUUUUAGUUUAUUUUAAAUCUUCCAAAACACGGGACACUGUGUCUGGUGAUUAUGGAAAACAAGAUGUUUUGAAAAUAUUUUGAUAUCUUAAACAGGUUAAUAACUUAGAAAAACUAUCUCAAAGCAUAUUAAGUAUUUUAGGAAGUUAUAAAUUGAAAUUUUUAACUACAUAGUUCUUUAUAAUAUGCCUUUAAAAAAUGAAUUUGUGAAUAAAAAAAUUUAUAGGAAUAAUUUUUUUAAAAAUAUCUUUAAAGUGUAUUUUUUUUUACACAAUCUUUUAAAAAAACUAAAUAUACGUAAUUUAAUUAGUUUAGCAUAUCUAAGUUUUUUAUUUUUUAGAAAGUAAAAUUUUAAAAUGAAACAUGUAGAUAUUAACCCAUAUUAGAAUUUUCUUUUCAUUCACUUUUAUUUUUAUUAAGAAUUGAAAAAUAUGCAAUUUGUUAUAAGUUCGGCCCAAGUUACUAAAUCAGAUCAUUGCUCGGGCCAUAUAUUAAUUCCGUGUGUUUCAGUUUGUUUUGUGACUUUUCACGGGCAUGGGCUUAUUAAAAGGAUAAACUAAUUUAGGUUAAGAAAAAACCGUUUUUUAUUAGCCUUAAAACCUCAACUAAAUGGAGAGAAAUUAAAAAAAGUAAGACUAAAUUUAAAUAAAUAACAAUAAUUACAAGUAGCUAUAAAUAAUUUUUUUAAUAUAUGUUUCACUGUUAUUUAACAUUUACAUCAGGAAAUUUGAAGAUAUUUUUUUCUUACAAUAAAUUAGAAGAUAAACAUGUUAAAAUAAAUGCAACUUGUAAAAGAAAUUUAUGUGCAAUAAUUUUUACUCAAAUAUAUAUUGAUAGUAGAUAGGGGUAGAUACGGUCUUGAUAGAACUUUGUGUUGUGUGUUGAAAGUGAAGCACCAACAUAGUUUUAUUCUCAAGGAACCUUUUAAUCAAAAUAUUAGCGAGACCAUUUUCAAUGUCUCUCCAAAAAUGUGCAAAGUAGAUAGUAAAAGUGAAAUGAAAUUUUCUACAAAAGUCCAUACCUUCAUUUUUCUUUUUGUUAACUUUAAGUUGNNNNNNNNNNNNNNNNNNNNNNNNNNNNNNNNNNNNNNNNNNNNNNNNNNNNNNNNNNNNNNNNNNNNNNNNNNNNNNNNNNNNNNNNNNNNNNNNNNNNNNNNNNNNNNNNNNNNNNNNNNNNNNNNNNNNNNNNNNNNNNNCACUUAAUUAAAACAGAAUCAUGACUAAAGGUGAAGAUGUUACAAUUCAGUUUAUAUAUACUAGAUUAUGCUCUGUAAAAAGGAGGAUAUAAUAAACAACACAGGAAACUCUUAACUCAUAUUAUAUUUUAUACUAUAUUAUAUUUUAUGUUCUUAUUGACUUGAGCAACGGAUUGUCAUCUCAAAAGGAGUCCCUCCCCUCUCAUUCCCAAAAGGUUGAGUCACUAGAGCUUGAAGGGAGAUCACUAGGAGUUCAUCCAUAUUCCGAUCAACCUCAAGUUGGCUAAACAGUUAGUGAGAUAAUUACUAUGGUGAAAAUUAUAGGCUACAUCAAAUAUUUCAUGGUAAAACUAAAAUAGUCAAGUCAUUAUCAAAAUCUACUAUGUGCGGUUGUCGUCUGUAUUGAAGUUGAUUUUUGAUCGGAAAUGUCAGACAGGUACAUGUAGAAGGCUCUCCGACGAUCAAGUGAAUAUUUGGUCUUGGGUAGUUCAAUGUAAUUAAUGUUCAAUAAAUGUGUACUUUAAUAUAGCGUUGGUCAACCUAUUUAUUAGGAUGAGUUGGGUAUGCAUUAACACCAUUUUCAUAAAUUGAAACUUUUAUACAUCAAAAUGUAUAAUUUUCAGUCAAUUUUAGUUAAUAAAAUUAUAUUCAAAAUAAAGCACCAAUCACAUUUUUUUUUAAAAAUUGCAUGUAUUUUUAUCAGAAAAAAAAAAUUGCAUGUAAUUUCAAUUAAUUUUGUUAUUGGAAGUUUAUAUAAUUAUUUCUUUAAAAUAAUUAAACUUAAUACUGUGAUUAUUUUAUAAUAAUGUCAAAAUCGUAUAGGAGUAUUUCUUGAGAAGAAAGUAAUCAAAUAUUACCUAGUAGUCAUAUAACAACUAUGACUUUUUUAACCGUGUGCCGUUGAUUCAACACCGUGUAAAAUAUAUGUUAUUCAGUCAAAUAUAUCUUAAUUAAUUAUGCAAAUUCAACAUUUUUCUUGCAUUAACACAGAUCUGAGAUCUAUUGAGUGUGAAGUUAAUUAUUCAACAUUUAACCUUUGAAUGAGUUCUUGGGUCAGUCAUUCCCAUUAAAUCUUAAUUUAUGCUGUCAGUGGAAUAUCACAUCUCACUUAUUUGCUAAAUUCCCCCAUUUCAUGGAGUUCCUAAUAAAAGAAUAUAUUAAUUUUUGUUUUCUUAAUAUACCUUAAAUAACUGAGAAAACUUUAGAAAGCAACACUAUCAUAUAGAAGAUUUACUACAUAAAAAAUUAUAUUAAUUAAAAUUUAAAUUAUUUAAUGAAUAUUUUAAUUAUUUAAGCAUAUUUCAAAUAAUUAUAUUUUUAAAUAAAAACAAAUGUGGUUAUGUAUUCGUAAAGGGCAGAAGGAAAGGCAAUCUGGAGGAGCCAUGGUCUCCCUCUCCGAUUUUAUUUUUUUUUAAGUAUGUAUAAGUUAUUAUAAAAUAUUUGUUUGGCCCUACUAAAAAAUUUCAAAUAAUUAUUGAAAAAUGGUAUAUGAAAAAAUGAAAUAGAAAAAAAAUCACAAAUAUUUAAAAAUGACUGUGAUGUUAAAAUAUUUACAUAUGAUUUUCAAAAAUAUUUAAUCCAUUCAUGAUUUUCACAUAUCAAAUACAUUAUGUAUAUACAUUAUCAAAUACAUAUAAAAAACAUAUUUUUCAAAAAAAAUCUAUAACAAUAUAUUGAAAUUUUGUAUUUUCUCUCUUAUCUAUUUAUCCUUUUUUUUCUUGUAUAAAAACUGUGCAAACUAGUUCUUUAAGUCAUUAAUUUUGCUUGAACAUUUUUUGUAAUGAGAAAAAAAAAACACUGAAUCUUCACCUUAUCUUUCCAUAAUAUAUAAUUUUAGGUUAGAAAUGAAAAAUUAUAAAAGAAUGUCUCUGUGAUUACCAGUUAAGACAUUCUAUAAAUAAAAUAUAGUAUAAACAUAACUAAUAUAAAUGUAGUGUAUAUUUUUUGAAGAGAUGCACAUCUAGUAUCAUAUCUAAUAUUAUAUUCAUGAAGGUAAGAUUAAACUAUUGGUGUGUACUUAUAAAAUGGUUUCAUCUUGGACACUGUUACGGAUAAGCUACCACGGUGUUAUUGACCAAGUUCCUAAUGGACCAAAAUCAUGUACGGUACCUUCGUACAUGCAUAAUAUUCAACUUUUGAUCACAAUAAUUUAUUAUAUUAAAUUUUCCUUCCAAUUUUUUUUUUUAAUAAAUUGUUAACCACAAUACUUUUGAAAUGGCCGUCAAAAAUUGAACUACUGAAUAUUUUCUAUAGACGUGAGUUGAGACACCAUUUUUCUAUAUGGAUUCAGAUAAAGACGAAUCUUUUCUUUUGAGUACAUGUAACUGGUUAUUAACACUUAAAGUCAUAAACUAAGAUAACUAUUAAUUGGUUGUGAUUCAUUACUACAGUUUUACGGAACGGAAAUUUGAAGACAGGGCCGGCUCUAAAUUGAACAGCAAAAUAAAAUAAUAAUGGUUUAUUAUUUUAUUGAAGAAAAAAAAAGAAAAAAAUUAAGAGAAAAAUCUAACUCAUUUUUAUAAAAGACUUCUAAAAUAAAAUUUGUACAUGAAAUUAUUUUUAGUUAAUGUGUUUAACAUUUUCAUCUUGAGACGAAUCAAUUCGGAUAGAACUAUAUAUUUAUUUGUUACCUGAUAGCAUAACAGUUCAAUAGCGUGUGAUGCAAUAAAUUUUUGUUAAGAUAAUUUUUAAAAUGACUUUUGAUAUCAUUAUAAAAAAAAUAUUUUCAAGUAAUGAGCUGAAUUUAUCUAGUGGAUAUUCAAGAGAACAAAAUUCUCUUUUAAUUUUUUUCUUUGUUAUUUUUUUAAUAUGACGAACAAAUGUGAAAUGAUGAAGUAAUUAAUAAUCUAACAGCGAUGUGUUUGGCAUUACGUAGUUUAUGAAUGCUAAGUUUGUUCUUAAAUUUUCAAGGAAGAAACCUCAUCCUAUUUGUUUUUUAUAGAUAAUGCAUUUGUUUUAUGUAUUAUCAGUGCAUGAUUUAACAAACGCUCCUCGUAUUUCGGUUCUCUCUUACACGCAUGCCAAGUGUAAUGGCUUUGAUCGCGUUUACUUUAACUUAACCGCAAAGUUUGUCAAAGACUAGAGAAUAAAUUAAGAGUAACACCUAUUAAAUAAAAGUUAACCAUAAAAAUUAUAUUUAAACUUACUAUGCUCCUUCAUGCAAAAUGUUUACAAUAUUAUUUUAUAAUAACAGCCAAAUCAUAUAGGAGUAUUUCUGGAGAAGAAAGUAAUAAAAGUUUAACAAAAAUAGUAUUAGGAGAUAUCGACUAGAAAUAAAACAUUUUCAUAACAUAUAAGUAGAUUUUAUAAACCAAAUUUUAUAAGAUUGAGUUAGACUUAAAGUCUACUUUUGAAUAUAGUAUUAAAGUAUUUUAAAACCUAUUAUAGCGAGAUUUUGUUAAAAUUAUCAAGUCAUCUACUAUUGGACUAUAUCGAACCACCCAUAAAUAUAUAAUCUCACAUAAGAACUCGACACGAAAAAGGUGUGUUAGAGAUUUUAUUGACAAAAAUAAAAAUAUAAUUUUUAUAAUAUAUAAAUAAAUACAACUCUAACCUUAUAAAUUUACUUUAUAAAAUUUGAGAUAAACUUAAAAGUUUAAUUUUUAAAUUUGAGAUAAACUUAAAAGUCUAAUUUUUGUCUAAAAACAUUCACAUUUAUACCUGUCAUAAUAUCAAAGGUGACUUUUUAAAAACUAAACUACGUGCCCUUUAUUCCACUCAAUGCAAAAUCUAUGUUAUCCAGUCAAAUAUAUACUCUCAAUUAAUUAUGCACAUUUUCCUUGUAUUAACAGAGAUCUGAUAUCUAUUGAGUGAGAAGUUAAUGAACCCUUUUAAUGAGUCUUUGGGUCAUUCAUUCCCAUUAAAUGUAAUUUAUGUUAUUCAGUCAAAUAUCACACCUCAUUUAUUUGCUAAAAUCCCCCAUCUCAUGGAGUUUCUUUUAAUAUAUAUAUAUAUAUAGUUUUUUUCUAUAUCUUCAAUAACUUAUAUAUAAUUUACACAAUAGUAUAAAAGAUAUAAUACAUACACAUUUACUUAAAACUAAAAGUAUUUAAUGAAUCUUUUAAAUAUUUAAUAAUAUUUUAAAUAAUUAAUAUUUUUAAAUAAGUAUUACCUUUUCACAAUAACACUUUUUAUAAUCAAAUAUAUAAAUCAAUUAAAGUGAACUUAUUUAAUUUUAAUCAUUAAUUUGAGGUUAUAAACAUGAGCAUAUAAAGUUGAGUUAAAUUCAUGGAACAUAAAUAAUCUUAUGCAUAAUUGUUUUACUUUAUUAUGACAACAUUGAUUUUUUUUAAAGGAUGUUUGUAGUUUGUGUGGUUGUUGCAACAAAAUAUAUUCCUUCUUAUUUUUUUUAAGUAUUGUAUUUUUAAAACGAUUUUUAUUCCUAGAUCUAGAUAGAUUAAGUAUACUAAUCUCAAUUGUUUACAUUAAAAAAAUUAUUAGAUAUGAAUUAAUUUUAGAAACCAAAAUAAUUAAUUACUUUAUUAAUUAAUUCAGAUAUUAUUUUAUAAACUAAAAAAAUAUUGGUAUCUAAAGUAAUUUUGAUAUUAAUAAAAAUUUAUAAACUAGCUUAUAAAUUAAUAUAUCUAAUAUUAAUUACCAACUACUUUAAGUUCUAACUUGGUAUCUAGCAUUAUCUACCAACUACUUUAGAUUCUAAAUUAAUAUAGGAAGUAGUUAGUAGCUAAUGCACUACAAGAAAAUCAUUAAAUAGAAACCAAUUUUUAGAAACCAAAAUAAUUAGUUGCAAUAGUAACUAAAUUAGAGACCAUUUUAGAAACUAAAAAAAAUUGGUUUCUAAAUUAGUUUAUAUUAUUUUCUAUUAUUGUUAAAUAGUUUCUAAAUUAGUAUCUAAUUAGCAACCAAUGUUUUAUCUACCAAUUAUUUAGUUUCUAAAUUUAGUCUCUAAAACCUUGGUUGCUAAUUAGAGACCAAUUUAGAAACUAUUUAACAAUAAUAGAAAAUANNNNNNNNNNNNNNNNNNNNNNNNNNNNNNNNNNNNNNNNNNNNNNNNNNNNNNNNNNNNNNNNNNNNNNNNNNNNNNNNNNNNNNNNNNNNNNNNNNNNCUUAAUUUAAACUAAAUAAAUAAGUAAAAAUAAAUAAGUAAACUUAAAUUUAAGUAAACCUUAAUUUUUUGUUUUUAGUUUUACAAAUGGUCUCUAAUUUAGUUAUUAUUGCAACUAAUUAUUUUGGUCACUAAAAAUUGGUUUCUAUUUCAUCAUUUUCUUGUAGUGAUGUUAGAUAUCAAUUUAUAAAUUAGCUUAUAAAUUUUUAUUAGUAAUAUAAAACUACUUUAAAUACCAAUAAUUUUUAGUUUAUAAGAUAGUAUUUAAUUUAGUCACUAUAAUAACUAAUUAUUUUUACUUUUAAAAUAAAUUUAUAUUUAAUGAUUCUUUUAUAGUAUUAAUAAUGACAAUAUAAUAUUUAUAGUGUAGUAUUACACACUUAAACUACAUAAAUAUAAUUAAUUUAAUCGAUAUACUAACUAAUUAUUUUCCUAACAUAAUUAUUACAUUUUAAUAUUAAACGCUUAGACUACUACUUCCCUAACUUAGUUAUUACACGCUUAAUGUCUCGUGUCCUUCUACAACUUAGCUAUAACAUAUUUUUUUCAUAUGUCUUGAACUUAUUCAACUUUUUUUUUGUGAUAUCAUAUUUUUUUACUAAUUUUUUUUAUUAAAGAUCAAUCAAAUUUAGAGACAAAAAAUAAUUAAGACUAAAUUUGAUAUUAUUUCAGAUAUUAAAAAAUUAUUCGUAUUUGAAGUAGUUUCUAAUUAAUAAAAAAUUAUAAAUUAGUUUAUAAAUUGACAUCUAUCAAUUAUCAAUGUUUUAACUACUAGUAUCUUAUAUUCUAAAUUAGUAUCUAAAAUACUAAUAGAGAUUAAUUUAAAAUAUAGAGUGGUGAUUUAAGGUUUGAAUUUUUUUAGGUGAAUGAUAUCUAUCUCGUAUAUGUAAGGUAUCAGAUAAUAUUAAUCAUUAUUUUAGCUCUAAAUAAUUUGUACACUAUUAUUAUGAUUACAAAAUUUAAUUUUUUCUUCUUCUUAAAUUAACUAUAACAUUUUCAAAUAUAAGAUUUUGUUGUACUUAUUAUAUUUUCUAUUAAUUAAUUAUUUUAAUCAACCUUAAUGAAUUUAAAAAUUAACCCUAAUAUAAUCCUAAAACUUAAUUUUGUGUUUAAUUUCAAAAAUUAACUGUAAAUUAAAAAUGUAAGAAAAUACUAAAUAUUCAUUGCAAUCAUCUAAAACACUAAAUAAAGAAAAGUUAUACAUAGUAAAAAUGUUUCUGAUAACUUAAAGAAAGUAUUAAACCGGGUUGCUUUUAUUUCAUGAAUUUGCACCUUGAAAUCCCUUUUUUGUAACAUAGUUAGAAAAUUUAAAAAUAGAAAAUUAUUAAAAUUAACUUAAAACUGUGAAAUAAAAUAAGUUUUUAUUGUUUUACUAAUAUAAUCACUUCAUUACCUUUACCAUGAGAUAAUUGUGAGUGGUGACCACACACAUUUCCACUUUUAUCUUUUCUUUAACAAAUGGGAUUUUUUUUUUGGUGUAAUAAUGCAGAUUUUUUACUAAAUUUUUGGUGUUGUUCUUUUACUGUAUUUUCAAAAUAAAUUUAAUUUUAAUAAAAUUAUAUUUUAAAGACAAAGCAGAGUAACAACACUGUAAAAUCACGAGAAUCCAAAUUUCAUGAUAUGAUACCCAACGUAUUCAGAAAACACAGUGGAUUGGAAAUAUCUUUCCAAUAAGACAAAAGUUAAAUAUUGCAUAAAGUUGUUAAGAAAGUAAAGAUAAAAUUAUAUUCAAUCUAAUAAAUAAACUACACUCUCAAUACUUUCUUUUACCUUAUCAUUAGAAAAUGUGUGAUAAUUAACGUAAUAUCCAUGAGGUCGAUAUCUAUUACGAAGUGGAAAAGCCUAACUCAACCCCAUAAAAUCGGUUCAUAGGGAUAAAAUCGGUUCAUAGGGUUGAGGUUUGCACCCACUUAUAUAUUAUGAAAGGCGGAUCUCCAACACACUCCCUCACGCCGAGAGUGAUAGAUAGAAGCUCGUGCGUGAGACUAUAUAUUAUGGGUGGUCCGAUAGCGGGUGGCACGAUAGGCCCAACACAAACACUCGCUAGGAUAGGCUCGAAAUGGCUCUGAUACCAUAUUAUAAAGUGAACUUUAAUCCUAACUCAACCCCAUAAAACCGGCUCAUAGGGUUGAGGUUUGCACCCACUUAUAUACUAUGAAAGACUCUCAUCUCUAGUCGAUGUGAGAUCUCCAACAAUAUCUCAUCACAACAUCUUGCGACGACAUGAUAAUCCCUAAUUAUCAUAUUCUAAACAAUUUAUAAACUAUGAUUUGGUGACAAUACAAUUGAUAUAAAGAGAUAACUAUUUUAAGGUAAAAAGUAAUAGAUUUUUUAGUAUUGGUAUAUAUUUUCUCUAUUAUGUAGCACAGACACUGACACUGAUACGACACAGACACGGAUAUAAAGAUACGUAAAAAAUUUAAAAUGUAAGACACGGGGACACAUAUCUAUAUAUUAUAUAAUUAUAAAUUAUAUAAAUUGACAAUAAAGAUUUAUAUGCACAAGUGUGUUCCAAAUUAUUUUUGGGAGUAGAAAAUGUUUUUCAUGUCUGAUUCACAAUGAUUUGUUUCUUAUUUUUAUAAUCAUAAUAACAAUUUAUACAAUAAAGUUUGAUUUUUUAGAAAAUUAAUGUAUUCCUUCUCUUUAAAAUUGUGUUAGAAUCGUACUAGAAUUGUCAGAAAUCUAACAAAUACUUUUUGAAUUGGACACUUCACGGAUACGUGACCUACAGGUGUCAUACGAAUGUCGGUGCCCGAUACGAGUAUCAAACACUGACACGCCAUUUAAGAAGAGUGUCCGAGCUUCAUAAAAUACUGACUUGAAAAUCAAAUUUAAUGCCAAAAUCGUUCUUAUAGUAGAACAAGCACAAGCAAAAAGUUAAUGUAAAUCCAAAUUUUCCAAUCUAAUAUGUGUUUCUUCAUCAUUUAAACCGAGUUAAUAAUAUUAAAUGUUAUUCUUCUUUUUUAUUUAAUAAUGAUGUGUUUGAAUUGAGAAGAAAAUUUUGUGAAAAUUUGAUAAAGUGAAUGUCAAAACCGUCCUUACCCUAAAAUAAGCAAAAGUUCAUGUAAAGCCAAAUUUUCCAAUCUAAUAUGCAUUUAUUCAUCAUUUAAACUGAGUUAAUGGUAUUAAAUGUUAUUCUUCAAUGGUAUUAAAUGUUAUUCCUUUUUAUUUUAUUUUUUAUAAUGAUGUGUUUACAUUAAGAAAAAGAUGUGUGAGGAUUUGAUAAAUUGAAUGUCAAAACCCGUCCUUACAAUAAAACAAACAAAAGUUCAUAUAAAUCCAAAUUUUCCAAUCUAAUAUACGUUUGUUCAUCAUUUGAAUUGAGUUAAUAAUAUUAAAUGUUAUUCUUCUUUUUUAUUUAAUGAUGAUGUGUUUGAAUUAAGGAGAAUAUGUGUAAGGAUUUGAUAAAGUGGUUUAAGAGAAAGAUGCGAAAAAAAUGAUGUUGUUUGGAUUAAGAUACGCAGAGUAAAUAUGUGGAAAAGGUUUAUUGAAGUUUGUGAGUGAUAUGACGGAAUUUUUUUUAAAAAAUAAAAUAAAAUGUUAGUUUACACAUUUAUUCUUAUCUUUAAAAAUAUUUAAAUAAUAUGUACUGAUAGGGACCAGACAACCAUGAUCAUGUAUCAACAAGUCGACUGACACCACAAACACCAUUACACUUAAGUAGGAUUAAUGAGAUCAAACACUAGGUAAUGUAUCCCUAAGCAUGACCCAACUCCCUAGUUCGGCCCAAUAAGAAAAGAGAAUCUCGUACGUCAUAUACCGUGCUCUGGAUAUCGAGUGUCGAAUACUAAAUUUUAACUAAGCGUCGGAGUGUUUUUUGCAAGUACCAUUCGAGUUUGGACUUGUGGAGACCGAGAGGUAGAACAACUAGAGAAGAGCAAGGACCCCACUUUGAGAGGAAGGAAGGAAAACUUGACCGACCAAUCAAAUAGUGUUGCAAUCGUUCUUUUGGUUUCAACCCGUUUAAAAAUAUAAUAUAUAUUUUCUUUUAUAAAUUCAAGUUAAUUAAAAUUUUAUAAAUUAUUUUCAAUAAAAUUGAAUAACUAUUUUGUAUAUUUUAAUUAACACCUCCUUCACAUCCGUGAACCAAAUUUAAAGUAUGCACACAUAUUCGUAUUCUCCCACAGUUGAAACCAAACGCAGCCUAAGGAAAAUAGUUUAAUUUAUUUGCCGUUUUCUUGCGCAGAGUGAAUAAGUUAGAAGAAGAAGAAAACAAAAGAAAUGAACAACAUGCCAUUUAACUUAUUCAUUCAAAAUGCAAUUUUUCUCGUAAACAUCAAUAUACAGUUUUAAAAAACACUAAAUGAAAUACUAAACGAUUUAAUUUAUUUUAUAAAUAGGAAAAACUAAAAUUAAAUGAUAUUUUUGAAAAGGCCACUCUAACUUAUUUAUAAAAACACUUAUUUUUUCAGUGAAACCUUUUGAAAACUUAAAAAAAGAUAAAUAAUUAGCAGUGGUUCAAUUGUCAUAAAAAAGUAAUAAUAAUUAAGUUUAGUUUCAGUAUAAAAAAUUAAAUGAUUCUUUUGAGCAUAAAACUUUUGAAAACGCACUAGUAACAAGAAUGUGUAGACACGAGUUUAAGGUUUAAUUUGUUUCAUUUAUAGAUAAACAUUAACAUUUAUAAAAUUAAAAAAAUUGAAACUGUCAUGUGCCCCCACUGAGAGAGUAUACCUAAUCACCAAACCAAACGUAACUAUAAAUAUGUUAGAUUGUCAUUUAAUUCAAGCAUUACUCUGAGCUAUUGCAGUGCCAGCCACUGUUCACACCACUCUCCCCAACGCCGUCGUUUUGCUCCGCCACCGCGCUUCCUUCUCGAACCUUCCGCCAUGUCGAUUCGCGAUUCCCAAGCCUUCAAUUGGCACUAUGACGAGCUCGACGACCAGAACCUCGAAAUCCGCGGCCGCAAGCUCUUCUUCAUCAUCGUCCUUUUCUCCAUCGUCCUCCUCUUCACCGCGCUCUUCAUCUUCGCGCGCCGGAUCUGCCACCAGCACGGCCUCCUCUUCGACGCUGUCCCGUCUCACCACGCACCGCCGGUGCUUCCUUCUCAUGACGGCCUCGACGCCGCCGCGAUCAAGCGAAUACCGAUCAUCCUUCACCAGCGCGCGGCGGCGGAGGAGUCGGAGUGCAGCAUCUGCCUCGGCGCGUUCGUCGACGGCGCGAAGCUGAAGGCUCUCCCUGGAUGCGAGCACAGGUUCCACAGCGAGUGCGUGGACAAGUGGCUCGUGAAUCACUCCAAUUGCCCUCUCUGCAGAGCCUCGGUGAAACUCGAUCCUUCAUUUCCGAGGAUUUUGAUCCAAGCGCCACCCGUUAGAACCGCUCUUCCUCUCUGAUACUUUUUUUUUUUCUGUUCAGAUUAGUAAGUUAGAAACAGCUGUAGUAGUUCUCACAUGUUCUGGGUAAAAAUUUGCCUGUGUAAAUCCUUGUAAGAACUACGUAUGAAUCGCUAAGACAUAUUCAUAGUUUUCAAACAGUCUCUUUCCUUUCCUUUAUGACAUUGCUUCAAAAUUUGAUAUUUCACAAAUAUAAAUAAUUAUUUUUAAUGAAUCAAUAAAUCACCCACAUAUAUUAUAACUAUUCUUUUAAUGCAUGACUAUUAGAAUCAAUUUAGACACCCUUCACUAUAAGCGGUGCUAGUUAUCUACUUGCACGGUUUGAUAAGUUGGAUAGAAGAUUAAGAUUUGGAUAACAAAUCUGCGAUUAUGGUUUUGAUUUUAAGAAAUAUAUAACAACAUGUGAAUGGAAUAAUAUAUGUCGGAAGUUUUCAGAGUUUUUAAACGGAUUUCAAUAAAUAAUUUAGAAAAGAAAACACCUACAUUGAGAAUUAAAAACUUCAAAUAACAUGAUUAUUUUAGUGUAGUGGGAGUCAAAAUAAUUGAGUGUGGUUUAGCAUUUGAUAUUAUUACAACACGCAGAGUAUGAGUGUGUUUUUUUUUUCAGUGCUUUGCUGUAUUUUUUUAUUUGGAAUGCGUUAAUUAUUAGUCCCAUUUGCCGAAGUUGAAAUAUUUAUUGAGAAUUAAAUUAAAUAUUGAUAAUUUGUUGGAAGAUGCCAAUUGACAAAGCCAAAUAAAAGGGGUACCCAAGAAAUUCCUUCACAUGUGACAGAGGUCCAACACAUGAGUUUUUCUGAUUUUUAUAUUUUUGAUUGAGUUUUGUUGCCACGUUGGGUGAUGGAAAAGUACAAGACCAAAAGCUCAUAAUGUUAUUUGCUUGCUUGCACCCUCAUCCAUACAAUAUUAUGCUCUAGUAUAAGCUAUGAGUGAAGGUUGUGUUUGGAUUGUGCAAAUAGAUAAUGGGUGACUUUUGAAUAAAUUGGGACCCAAAACAGGGAAAAGUGCGACUAUGCUAGGACCCUUCAAUCCAAAGUCCUAAGUCCUAAGACCUAAGACUUGUUCUAAUUUAUAUUAUGUGAAGACUUAUGCUUAAUUUAUAGUAUAUGUUUUCUCUAAUCACAACUUGCCCCCCACUUGGAUUACGCAUACAAUGCGUGUUUCAUGCUAUGCUUGUGAACACGUUUGCAGUUUUCAAACGGAAUUUUAAGUCUCUUUUAUAGAGAAGCUGCGCAAGCAAUUCUACUUUUACAACUUUAUAACAUAUUUUUUUAGGGAAUCGAACUCAGAUAAACAUAUAAUAAUUAAGCUUAAGUUCAACAGAAGUUCUGUCAAUAAAAUUAUACUCUACUAUUUAUUAAAUGUUUAGAAUUAUGAAAUCUUAAUCUUACUAUGUAUGUAGACAUGUUUGCAAUAAAAUAGAUAUUUUUCAAACUUUAGUUUAUUUAUGUUUUUUCCAGGUUUUUCAAAUGAAACCAGUGGAGAUAUUUAAGGAAUAAUCAAAGGACUACCUUUUUUUUUUUGUUUGAUUAAAAGAACAACGUUUUGCUUAACCGAUAAUAUAAUAUCUCACAAAAGGAAGUACUCGCAUCUUUCUUAUUCUUUAGAUGAAAAUAGUAAAUUAAAUAUUCUACUAGUAAAAGAGAUAAACGAUUUUUUUUAUAACAAAACAUAUUGCUAAGAAAAAAAAGACGAUACAUAAAUUAGGCUAAAAAACAUUUUUUUUUUCAUAACCUAUUGUUCCUUUAUGAAGGUCUGGAGUCCAUUUUCAGUAAAAUGUUUUCACAGUAAAAAUAUUUCAUUUAUGAAAUUUAAACAGUCACCAAUUCGAACGAAUAUAAUAAAACCUUUACCUUUUCUCUUCCUUUAAAAUAUUCUCAAAGCUUUUUAGCGUAGAUCUAAAUUUUGUCUGGAUUUUUAAUGAAGGCAUCUUGUUUGUUGUAUUAUUUGAUGUCCUUUUCCUUUUAAUUCCUCAUUGGUCAUUUCAUUAUCAAAACCCAAAAAAAAGUCAUGUCUCAAAUUAAGAAUUGAAUUUAUAUUUUCUUAAAAUAUAAAAACAUUGUAUUUUUUUUAUUGAAAUACCAAAGAGGCUUAUCUAUCUUUGCAUAUGAUUCUUCAGGUAUGUGUUCAGUUUUAAUGUAACUUGUUGAAGUCAAUAGUAUUACAGACACAAAACGUCAUGUGUAUUUGGUCUUUAUGCCAUCAAGUAAAAAAACUUAUAUGUUAGCUAAAAAAGGAGCCUCUUUUAACCAUGUUUGUUUUCUUCAAGGCACCAUAAUCAUUUACAAGAACAUAAGAAUUUCUCAACUUGAUGAAGGAAUUAGUACUGUAACACCCUUUCAAACCAAGACACCUAUUUAUUUCUGAAAAACACAAGCAAAGAGGUAAGAUCAAAGAAGUAAUACAUAAACACCAUGCAAUUAACAUGAACAUUCAAGUAUUACUAUUUUUUUAUUGUUUUGACAUUCAAAAUGGCAUAAAAUCCAAUUAAACAAGGAAAAUAUAACAAUAGACAAAUUGUAUUUAAUCCACAAUCAAACCUUCAAUUCUACCAUGUAUAAUAAUUCAUCAACAUCAACAUUUCCAUCUCUAAACACUACUAUAUUUUUAUGAUUUCAUAUACUCAAAAUCAAUGCUACCCACAUAGUUUUUCAUACUUGAUUUUGGUUUUUUUUUUAAUGUGGCAUUUGGAACAGCUCAAAAUGAGCAAAGAGACUAUUGUGGAGGACAAUCUAGACUCUCACCCAAUUCUAACAAUUUUCAAGCUAUAUAUGCUACCUUACAUUCAAGAAACAAGUGUUGUACAUUUUCUUGGCACAUUUGACACAAUGCACACGAUUGGUUAAUGAUAUUUCCCCCCCUUCUACUUAAGUCUAGAAGGUAAUCUGUCAAGAAGCAUCCUCUAGGAAAUUACUUAAGCAGAUAAGGAUGCCUUCACUUCCCAAAAACCUUAAACAAAUUGUUAUUUCCAAUAUUAUCACUAUUACGUAUGACCUCAUAAACUAACAUAGUCUUCCGAAGCCAUUUCCAAGAGUCAAAUCUAUCCCUAUCUAGGUAGACAAAGUUUAAUUUUCUCUCUCCCAUUCAAAUAAUGACAUUCUCCACACCAAAUUCCAAUUCCAUCCUCCAUUAGACCAAAAACCAACUUCCCCUACUAAUUUACAAUGACUCACAAAUAUGGAAAAAAGAAAUAUGGAUUUGAGAUUAGAGUUUACUAUCCAUUCAUCCUCCCAGAAUCUGAAUUUGUUAAUUGAACCUAUUUUGCCAUGUAUUACCUUAUGAAACCAACCAUCAUUGUUUCCUUCAUUAGAUAUUUUACAUAUAUCUCUCCACCAAAUUGGUUGUGUUCAUCUGCCUCAUAUCUAGAUCAAAGGACAUCUUUCCUUUUUUUUCUUCAGAAUCAUCCAACAAUCUCCAUUUCCAUUUUGCAAGUAAGGUCGUAUUAAAAUGACUUAUGUCCUUAAUGCCCAUAUCUCAUUCGUCCUUUGAUUUGCGUAGUUUCUCCUAACUAAUUCAUGCAAUUUUAUUAUUUUCACUCCCCCAACAUCAAAGAAGUUUUCUUUGUAUUUUUGUAAUUUCUUUACACACUCUUUAGUGCCUUAAAAGGGAUAAAAAAAAAAUACAAAAAUAAGCACUAAAAACAUACUUAAUUAGACAAAAUCUCCCGAUAAAAGAUCAUUUACAUUAAUAUACAAAUCAAUUGGAAUACAAAUAUAUCAUUAUAUCAAUAGAUAUUAUCUAAUUAUUUUUUAAAAGUUAAGAAUCAAUGAAAAUUCAAAUCCAUGGUGAUAUAAAAUAGACAGAUAGAAAAUAUUAGUGAUGUGAACUACUACCAUCAUACAUUAUACAAUGACCAAGGAUGUUGCAAAUGGUAACGACAAAACUGCACAAUAUUAGAAAUAUAUUUUAUUUCUACUUGAAUUUUUGAAUUCCAGUAUAAAUGUAUAAGUAUUAAAUGCAACUUCUAGAUGAGAUUCUUGUAAAUUAUUUGAUGAUAUUUUUAUAUUUAGUAACAAUUUAUUAUCUAAAAUAAAAAGAUUAAAAAUUAAUAAAUUUGAAUUAACUUAUAAAAAAAUCAAAUAAUUAAAAAUAAAAAAAAUUAAAUUUAAUAUAUUUAAUUUUUUAAAAAAACUUGUCAGACAAUAUUAAGUUAGAGACAAAAAUAUAGAAUAUAAUUAUGUAUAUUCUAUGUUUUUACAUAUUAAAAAAAAAAUAUUGUGUAUCUUCACGAGUAUAUCACUAUAAGAAAUAAUGAUGGUAGAGUCUCCAAAAGAGCGACACAAAGAGUAAAAGAGAGACGCUACAUGGGGUUAGUGUGGGCUUAGCGUCUCAAUAGAAAUGAAAGUUAAUCUUUUGGUGGCUAUGCAUUAGAGAUGACCUCCAAUGGGAUACAAAUUUACAAGGUAGUGUUGGCUAAGCCUACAUAAAGAAAAAUAUAUUAUUUAACUAUAACAUAGGUUUGGGGGACACUAAAAUUGAUAUAAAAUUAAAUAAUUAUUAAGAAGUGAACUUUAAACCUAACUCAAUCUCAUAACACACAUCUCACUCACAUCGAGGCUACAAACUCGUGCGUCCGAUAAUGGACUGAUAGCAAUUGGCAUGAUAAGCCCAACAAACAAUAACUAGGAUAAACUCGAGAUGACUUUCAUACCAUAUUAAGAAGUGGACUUUAAGUCUAACUCAACCUCAUAAAACCAGCUUAUAAGGUGAGGUUUGCACUCAUUUAUAUACCAUGAAAUGUCCAAGUCUGUAAUCGAUGUGGGAUCUCUAACAAUAAUUAACUUAGCGCCGCAGUUGGAGACAUUACGUGAGAAAGCAAAUGUGAGUAAAUAUUAGUGCCACCUAUACCUACUCUAAAUGUAAUAGAAUAUUAACUUGCAUCCACUUCGUAUCCUCAUUCUAGACUCAAUAUUAUUCUGUCAUUUAAUUUUUUCAUUGCAUCUACUUUGUGUCCCCAUUCUAGACGUUAACUUAUUAUUAUUUUAAUAAUUUUUAACUUACAUCCAUUUUGUGUCCCCAUUUUAUACUCAAUAUUAUUUUGUCACUUAAUUUUUUUCAUUGCAUCUACUUUGUGUCCUCAUUCUAGAUGCUAACUUAUUAUUAUUAUUUUAAUAAUUUUUAAUGUGAGUUAUGAGUCUUUAUUGUUGACACAAUAUUUGACAUUUAUUUUUGUAUCAAACUUGAGUAGACUUUAUCCUUGUUAUUGACUUCCUUUUUAUAACCUUCACCUUUUGUUGACAGAUAAAAUGAAUUUUUCUUGUAGUAUAUAAAAUUUAUAGCUGUAUUAAAAAUAAUAAGUUUUUACUAGAAAGUUCAUAUAAGCAGUACUGAAUAAGUAUUAAAAGAAACUAUAAAAUAACAUAGUCCCGUAAGAAAACAGCAGCUUAUAUUCUAUAACAAGAUGGAACCUGAAAAGAUGAAAUCAAUAUCUAGAUUUAAAAACGGACAAAAAGAGAUAAAUUCGUGGUUAAUACCUACUAUGUAGCGCAUACAUUGAUACGACACGAACGAAAAAUACGUAAAAUUUAUAAAAUGUAGAACACGAGACACGAAUUUAUAUAUUAUAUAAUUAUAUAAAUUGACAAUAAAGAUUUAUGUGUACAAGUAUGUUUCAGAUUAUUUUUUAGAGUAGACAGAUGUUUUUUAUGACUGGUUCACAAGGAUUUGUUUCUUAUUUUUAUAAUCAUAAUAACAAUUUAUACAAUAAAGUUUGAAUUUUUAGAAAAUUAAUUUAUAUAUAUAUAUAUUUUUUAAAUUAUGUUAGAACCGUACUAGAAUUGUCAGAAAUCUAAUACUUUUUGAAUUUGACACUUCACAGAUACGUAUCCUACAAGUGUCGGUGUCCGAUGCCAUUUAAGAGGAGUAUCCGAACUUCAUAGAUUAAUACUAUUAAACAUAUAAAAUAAAUAAAUAUAAUUUUUUGUACACUUAAAACAUAAGUUUUAUUGAAAUUAAGGAGAUAUUAGAUCCACUAAAAGGGGAAACAACCCUUUUGUCGUUAUCGAUUUGAGCCAUAUUAGAUAAUAAAUGCAGAAGGCUACACAUUAAUUAUUUGGACUACACGUGAAUAACACAGGUCCUCUUGCUUUUGACUUCAUGCACAUAUCUGAUGAAAUGACCAAGAAAACCAACAAAACUACGAAUUUGAUUGAAAGCCUCCAUCUUCUGUUUAUAAUUUUUUUAAGUUGUGAUCAUCUUUACUUCGUAAAGUGAAAAUUAUCAAUCAUUAUGUUCUAAUUUUUUUUUCCAGAAAUUUCCAUUUUAUUAUAAACUUUUAUAUAAUAUGAGUGGGAAAAAUAAUUUUCCUUUUGCUUGUGGAACCCUGACUUAAUCCCUUCCAUUCAAAAGACACAUGGUGAUUGUUGUGGUAGAAGGAGUUGAAACAUAUGUUUUACUAUUUUGUUGAAGAGAUCAGAAUUUACUUAAAUACGUUUUAAAUUCCUAUGUAAUAUUAAUUUUUGUUUUUAGUCAAAAUUUUAAUUUUUUUAUGAUUGAAAAUUAUUAGAAUAAAUAUUUGAUAAUGUUAAUUUUUUAUGUGAUAAAUAAAUUUUUAGUAUAAAACAUAUUAUAACAUUUAACUCAGCAAUGAAUUAUGGUGAUGAUAGUUUAGAUAGUAAAACAAACUUGUCUAUACUUAUACAAUGAACAUAUAUAAUGUACAUCUAAUUAACUUCUCUAUAUCUAAAAUUUAUUUGUAAUUAUGAAAAACUUAUUAUUUUAUGAUAUGUUAUUAUAAUUUAUUUAUGGAACUUAAUUUUUAGCUGUACUUAUAAUCAUGCGAUAUUUUUUAUUAUAAUUAUUUAUGGAACUUAAUUUUACCUAUAUUGUAAUUAGGAGAUAUUUAUUUUUCUGAAAAAGGGUGUUUGCAAUUAUUAAAUGCCUACUAUUUGGGUUCUUAAACUCAAAUUAAAAGGAACAUCUAUUUAACCUUUUCUUUCUCAAAAAAUUAUAUUGUUAAUUUUAUUAUUAUUAUAAUUAUAAUUAUAUAAAGAUGAAUCUAACUUUUUUUAUAUAUUUAGUUGGAUAAAAGUGAUAUUUUCCUUUAUAUAUAGAUGUAGUUGACAAUUAGAAUUAUAUAAUUAUUUGAAUAAAAUAUAUGUGUAUGCUGAAUUUUGUAGAUUUAAUUAUUUUUAUUAAAUCUCUAGAUAUAGGAUUUAUCACUACUCGUAAUAGAUAUAUACACAUCCAAAUUAUUAGAAUAUUUUUCCUAUUUUUUCUUCUUCUUAAUUUUAUUACUUAUAACAAAACAUGUUUAAUAUUAUAUUAAGAUAAUAAGUUAUCAAAACAUGGACACUUUAGUCCAAAAUUAAAAAUAUGUUGCAUCAAAUAUAAUAUUUUUUGAAUGAAAACUUAUCAAAACUUAAACUUUUAAAACAUAUAAUUAAAAAUAUAAUUUUUAAAUCAUUAUUUCUCUAUUAAAUUUUAAGUUUGUUAAUGUUUAUAUAAAAAUUUAUAGGGCAUAAUUUAUAACAUUUAUGACUUAUAUUAACUAAAAAUAUAAACUGUUAUAUGAUUAUCACUGUUACUACUAUUUUAUUUAUUUUCUCGAAUUUACAGAAAGAUUUUAAAAUAACCGAUUGUUGCAACUUGCAUUUUAAGUUAAAGAAUUAAUAAAACAUCACAUUUCAUUAACUAAUCUUCCAUUUUUAUUACUAAAAAUUCUUAAUUAAAUUAUGAAACUUGAUUCAAUAACUGUACAUUUUAUUAAAUUUAUUAUUAGUAGUUUUAAAAUUUUGAUUAAGUGAAGAAAAUAUUUAGAAUAUUGCGUCUUUAAAAUCCCAAAGAGGACAUGACAUCCAAUUAAUUUUAUCUAUUAAUUCAUACUCUAUUAACUUUUAACCCUCUAUAACAAUUUUAAAUUACAAAAAUAUUAAUUUAUAUUUAAUUAUACUAUGAAUAGAAUUUUUAAUUGUAGAGAAAAUGUGAGACCUGGGCCUAGGCCCAUUUACCUCCAUCUUUCCAUCUUAUAUUUUCUGACAGCUCCUUACUGUCUAUUUUCUUCUUCAUUUAACAAAGGUAACAUUAGCUUGGGGCUGUUUCUCAAUAUUUUGGAAUAUUUUUUAUUUUGCAAUAUUUGAUCCAAAUUAUAGAAUUUUAAAAAUAUUUUUAAAAAUAUUUUCUAAAUUAUAGAAUUCCAAAGAUAUUUUUAUAAAUAGUUUCUGAAUUAUACAAUUUAGAAUGUGUAAUUUUUUUUAAAAAAUAUUUUAUAUAAUCCAAAAAUUGGAUUCUACAGGAUGUUUAAAUAAAAAAAAAUAUUUUAAAUCAGAAAUAUCUUUCAGAUUUUAUAUUUUAUAAUUUUUAAAAAUAAAAUAGUCUUUUUGUCUGAAAAUUAGUUUUUUCGUCUGACUGACGUAUGGAGUGUUAGGAGAAACAAUAGAGGUGCAGGAAGAAAAAGCCUAACCUGGGAUACAUAUUGUUAUUGCUAAAACCUAUCGAAGCCCAUUGAUUAACGAUGGGCCUUUCGUUAGAGCCCAAUACUUGCUAGGGUUUCUUGUAGGCUAUAAAUUGCUGCAUCAGUAAGAUAUAUUUUCUUCUUAGUUCUGUUACUUCUCAGCAGCAAUCGGCUAGGGUUCGGAGUCAAGAAGGGUUCAGAGUUUGUUCACCAUGAGGGCCAAGGUAGCUUCACUUCUCCACUGAUGAUUCCUUCACUUCCUUUUUCUAUUGCUUUUCUGUGGCGCGGUUCAGUUUUUGAUUACGAUCUCUCUCUCUUUUUGUAGUGGAAGAAGAAGCGUAUGAGGAGAUUGAAGAGGAAGCGCCGAAAGAUGAGACAGAGAUCCAAGUAGUGCGUUAAUUCUAGUUUGUUUCUGUUGGUCUUUACAAUUAUUUAUGUUCUCGAAGGUGAAACCCAGUAGUUAGUGUUACUGGCAUCUCCUUUUUAUGUUUUGAUACAUUUUGUUCGCUUUAAUUAGUUGAUGUUUGGUUUUGUGUCAUUAGUUUUGAAACAAUGUUCGAAUCAACAGAAUUUCAAAUUUGCAUUUCUGAUUUUCUCUUUUCUAUUUGGCCUAGACGUUGCCCUAAAAUUUGUUAGGGCAAUUAUAAUUUUGGAUUAUAUCUACUGCACUUUCUUUAGAUUUAAUUAUUUAAUUUUCUGAUUCAAACAUCUAACCGCAAUGCUAGAUCAAGUUUAAUCAUGUAAUUGUUUUUUGAUGGAUAGAAAUUUGAAGAAAUUGAUUUUUUUUUUUUUAAAUUUCCUCAUACAUUGUUGCAUUGUUACUUCCAGUUUCUUUUAAGUUUCUAUCUGUCGUUUAAUCAAUGCUAGACAUAAUUUAAGAAACAUGAUUGAGUUCAUGAUAUUUUGAUUCAUAACAACUGAAGGAAAUUGGAACUUGUUUUAGUCUUUCUGAGUAAUAAUCAAGGAAUUUAGGCACGAUAUAUAAGAAGUGUUUGUUUGUUUUUUACGGGAAAUUCUAUUUAAUGUUGACCAAUUAACAGUUCAUGAAUCUACUAGUUUUUGAAAAGUGAAGCUCCAGUGUUAGCUCACAUUAGAAAACUCAUAAGUGAAAUUCAUAUAUUCAAUGAUUUUGUUUUCGAGCGCCUUCUGAAAUUAACAUCAACAGCAUGCAUAUGCUAGAAUGUAUGGUUUUUCAGUUUAUGAUUUCGUUUGGGUUGUAGAACAGAGCAUUGAAGAAUUAUUUCUUUGCAUUGUUCAUGUUGGAAAAGUAGAGAUUUUAUCGUUUUUAAUUUUUAUUUUUUGUAAUGAUUGGAUAGUAGAAUUUUAUUUCUUAAAAAUGAGUUGAUUUUCCAUCUCACUUCUAUCAUUUUUCUAUUAUAACAUUUUUCAAAAAUAAAUUUUAUGAUUUCAAAUAAAUGUAAGAUAUACAAAUAAAGAUGUUUACAAUAAUUCCUAAAUCCAAAAUAUUAUUUUACUGUAGAUUUUAUAUAUAUGAGCUGUUUGUUUAAAAUUAAAGAAUCAAGUUUCAGAUUUUUUUAAAAAAUUUUUGUACAAUGAUAUCUUUGUAAAAUGAUUUUAUUAUUUGUAAGUAGUCAUUCCUAUUGAAAAUACUCUGGCAUUGUUAUAUUGUUUCUUUAACUAAAAGAAUCUAAUUAUUGUACAUCAUAUAAUAUGAACAAUGUAUUAUUCUUUUUCAAUCCUAAUUAAAUAGAUGAAAUAUUAUUAAAUCUUAUGGUACAAUGUGAAUAUUUGUAACUUAAUUGGUGCAUAAUUUAAAAUAAUAAUAGCAAACUUAACUAAUAACAUGCUAUGAAAUAAGAUCUAAAGUAAGUAAACUAAUCAAUUUUUUUAAAAUCACUUGUUAAAUAAACAAAGAAAUAAAAUCAAGUUUCUGUUAGUACUCCUAUAUGCUCCCGCAGGAUGGAGGGGAUUGCAUUGCACCAAUCAUGCAUAUCCGAAAGAUUGUCUCGCGGUUGAGAGCUGUUUAGUGAGUAAAUUUCCGAGGUUGUGAUUGAGAGGCACUUAAGUCAAUUGCAAGAUGCUUCAUACUGGAGCGAAAAAACAGAAUUGACACAUAAAUCAAAUGGUUGGUGAAUUUGGAUUGUAUAGAACUUGUUCUAGCCAAAGAAUUUUAGUCGUUGUAAAACCAAUGGUGUGCCUUUUGAUUGCUUUGUGAAGUUUCUGAACAUGGUUUUGAAAAUUCAGAUGAACAAAACCGGUAGGUUGAGAUAUGUAAACCCCCUCAGUCACUGUCGUGUAAAAAGACAUUAUUGACAUCCAUUUAGCUGAGAGUCUAGCGAUUUGAGAUGGCAAUGCAAAACACAAGCUUGAUAACAGGACUAAGGUUUCCUUGAAAUCAAUGCUUAGAUGCUGAUGAAAACCUUUAUCAACUAAUCGUGCCUUGAAAUAAGCAAUGAACCCAUACGUACUCCGCUUUAAUCAAAACACCCAUUGCAAUGGUGUUGAGGAGGGGCAAGAGACCAAACACACGUUGGUUCCACAAAUGGAGGAAGUGGGUAUUUGGUGACUGAAAAUAACAUUUUAGGUUUUGAAAUGGCUGUUUUCCCUGGAGUAUGGGAUGGUGGGUUUAGUCUCUGUUGGAAUGUAGGGUUUGGAUACCUCAAACACUUGAUGGUAAUGAGGAUAGUUGUUGAAACAUGAUGGGAUAAGGGUAGUGAUAUUAAGUCUAGGUGUGAGUAUAUGUUGUUUGAAAAGCAUAUGGCCAAAAUUGAAGAGGGAGAGAAGCAUGAUUAGACGAAAUUGUACAUUAUUCUCUGUUAUUUGAUAGUGUUUUCGUUCAGGUAGACCAUUAUGUUCAGGAGUUUGUGUAGAAGUGGUUAAGUGGGUAAUGCCAUUAUGUUCAUUGCAAGCCAUGCAUGAUGAGAAGAGUCAACAGAUGACAUGAUUGAACGUACUUGAGGAUCACAUGAGCCAAGAAGAGCAAGAUAAAUAACUUAGAAAAAAAAACUCGGGUUAGUUAUUGUAGAAUCACAGCAAUGAGAAGAGACCUAACAUGCUUGAACCAUGUAUAAUAAUUAGAAGAAUUAAGGUUGAUAGGAAGUUGAGUGGUACUAUUAUUUGAUACAAUAAUGAGAGGGAAACAAAUUUAAAGAAAAGUAAAAAUAAAGUCCUCUUUCUUCUUCUUCUUCUUAAUUGUUAUUGUUAUCAAGAUUAUCUUGUUGUUAUUCUAGUUAGUAUUAUCAUGAUCAUUUAACUUAAAAUACAAAUAUAUAUCAUUCAAAAUAAUAAUAUUUUAAUUAGAUUUGUUUUAUUUUUAAACUUAAAAUAUGAAUAUAUAUUAUUAUGUUAUUAAAAUAGUUGAAUAUAGUUUUUCUUCUCAAAAUUUGUGCGGUGGAAAAUUUAUAUGAAAAAUAAUCUUUAAAAAAAUUACAUUCACUUUAUAACUCACAUUUAUAAUGUAAAUUAAUAUUUUAAAAAUUAAAAAAUAAAGCAAAUAUUAUUAUUUUGCUUGUAAAAUGAGUGUUUUAUUUUUGUAUCAAAAUAUCAGCACUCAUAUAUUUACCCAUCUUAGAAUCAUCAAUCUCGUUUAAAACUGAAUGUUAAUACAAAUAUUAAACCCUGGUGAUCAUGGAAGCUUAGAUCUUAAUUAAAAUUAGAUCCCAAAUAACUAAAAAAAUAUGUAAAAUGAGAAACCAGUAAAAAAGUAAAAAUAUUUUAUUUGGGAUGAAACUUUAACCCAGGAUGAAUGAUUUCAUGUUGCCUUUGAUGACGCAAACUAUCAACAUAAUUCCGAACCUCAUCAGCUAUCAUCUGCUGCAUCAUCUGCAGAAAGUAAUCUUGAUCCGAAGCCGUGUUAAUAUUAUUCACUUCAAACUCUUCUACUUCUCUUUCUUCCUCCUUUUCUUCCUCUUCCAUCAUUUCUCCCUCCGAUUUUUCCCCAGACGGAAAAAGACUCAACGGCUUCAUAAGGGGAAUCGCCAUGCACUCUUCCUCGUUUUCCUUCUCCACACGCUGUUUCUUCAGAGGAUAGCACAACUCCAAGGGAGAGGGCCGCUUGGUGCUCGGCGAUGCCGCCGACGACGACGAGGAGUGCUCCGUCGUGCCACGGCGCCGGAGGGUGGAGUUCCAGUGGUUCUUAAUGGCGUUGUCGGUGCGUCCAGAGAGGAGGCGCGAGAUGGUGGCCCACUUAUUCCCGUGAACAGCGUGAGCCUUGAUGAUGAUCUCGUCCUCCAUCGGACUGAAGGGGCGAUGCCUCACGUCCGGGCUGAGCUGGUUGCACCAUCGCAACCGGCAGGACUUGCCGGAGCGCCCUGGAAUGCCGCUGCUGAUGACGGACCAGUUCCGCGGGCCGUGCUCGUUCACCAAUUUCAUUAGCGUGGCGUCCUCCUGAGGACUCCACGAGCCCUUCACGCGAUCGUCGCCGCCGUCCCUCAUGGUAGCUUUCAUCGGAAAUGUGACACAGAGGCUGGUGCGCGUGGUUGUUAUUAUUAUUACGUUAAUAUUUUGGGUUUUUCUGUUAGUAAAUGAAUGAAUAAAGAUUCAGUUGGGAAGAAGCUUGAAACUUAAAAAGUGUAACCGUUUUUUAAAUACCGUGGAAGGGAAGGUUUUUAGUUAGUAUUUGGGUGGUUUCGGUUCUAACUAAGGAGGUAGGUGGUGGAAGUUUACAGGUAGGUUUUUAACUUUUCUGAGGUAAUUAAUUUUUUUCCGGCACUUUUUUGAGGUAAUUGAUGGAUUUAUGAAGAGAGUGGGCUCCAGAAUAUUAAUUAAUUAAUAUGGAAGAAGUUAUAACUUUCACUUUCUCUAACCUCUUCAAAUUGUUCAAAACUCCAAUUUUUUAUAACUUACCACUUCUAAUAUUAUUAUUUUAAUAUUUUGUAUAUUAUUUAAUUAUAAAUUUAUCUUUUAUUAUACAUAUUCAUUUUUAAACUCAUCACAUUAUAUAAACUCUACACUCAAGAUUGUGAAAUUAUUAUUUUCCAUUCAAAUAACGUUUUUUCCUAUAUAAACUCUAGCAAGGAAAGAGGAUAGUUUUUGACCCCUUUAUUUGUUGGAUAGUGUUGUUUCCACAUUUUAAUUUUAUAACGUAGGACAUUCGGUUUUUAUUUUCUAAAAUGUGCUGUUUUUAUAUUAGUUGGAUCGAAAUAAUGAGUGUGACAGUUAAGAGGAGUAUUAGGUAAAGAAAUGUUAUAUUCAGUUUGGAUUUAUUAUUUAUUAUUUAUUCAUAUACUACGGAAAACAGCAAAACACAUAUAUUACGUCUGUGGAUCCACUUUUAUAUUUUAAUCAUUUAUAUAUAAAUAUUUUUAAUAUUAAAAAUUAAAUAAAAGAUAUCAAUUAAACUAAUAAGAAUUUUUUUUUAAGAAAGAUGAAGAUAUAAAAAAAAUUGUUUUAAUGUUUCUUUUCAAGUUUAAUAAACUGUUUCGUCGUUUCACAACCUAAUUCCAUAUUUAAAAUUAAAAAUUACAGUAUAAUUAUUUUUGUUAAAGUGAAGCAAUUUUCAAUUAAUUAUAAAAAUGAUUAGUUAUUUAAUAGAUAUUAGAAAAUGAUUGAAUUAUCUAAAAAAAUCGUCUCUCCAGCUCUCUCUCAAUACAAAAGUCACUUUAAAUAUAUCAAAUGUUUUAAAAAAAAUAAAAAAUAACUUAAUGUCCAUUAUAAUAAAAUAAAAUUAAAUAUUAAUAUAAGAAUAAAAUAAGAAAAGAAUAUAGUAAUAUGUUUACUAUAUUUUGAGUUUUGAGUUUUGAGAAGUGAAAAUGAUUAUAUACACUUAUUUAAGUUUUGCAACUGUAAUUUGUUUAUGCAGUUAGACAUGCAUAUAAAAUGAUUAUAUAUACUUAUUUUAGUUUUGCAACUGUAAUUUGUUUAUUAUGCAUAUGCUGCAUAUUCUACAUUUCACCGUUUUUUCUAACAUAUGGAAAUCGAUAUCAAAUAUUUAAAUAAUAUAUUUAAUAUAUAUAUAUAUAUAUAUAUAUAUAUAUAUAAGUUAGAAAUUAUAAGAAUCAGUUUUUUAGUUAGUCAAAUAAUAGAUCUUUAUACAUAUAAAUGUUAUAAGUGGAUAGAGAUGUUAACAGUAACAAUGCACCUUUAUGGAGUAUGCAUUUUUAUAUAUAAGUGUUUUUCUUAUAUUAAGGUUAUAACAUUUAUAUUGUGCUAAUACACUCUAACAGUGUAUUAUUAUUAUUUUAGUUUUAUAAACUUAUGUUAUUAAUUAUUAUUAUUUUAAUUUUAAUUUUAAAUGUAUUUUUUUUCUUUUAUAAUAAUUUAUUUAUCUAGUUAUUAACUUUUUCAACUUUAUUUAAGUUUUUUUUUACCAUAGAAUAGUUUAUAUCAAUUAAAGAUAAGGUUGGUGAAAUUAUAUUGUAUAAUUAGAUGUAAAUUUUAUUUUAUAAAGAUGAAUUAGAUUUAAAUUUAAACGUUUGAGUAUUGUGUUAGUCAAGUUUCUCCUAUUUUUCAUAUUUAAUAUCUAUUUUUCUAUGUUAGGUGUCUCUUGAAGUAUUUUCUUUUAAUAAAUUAUUCUCCUCUAUUUCAUUUUUUUUUAUAAAAUCAUUUCACAUAAUUUGGAAAAAUUAUUGAUAUUUUUUUCUUAUACUAAUUUCCAAGCUUCAAUCCUAUUGGAAUUCUCAACUAUAUUAUUUCGUAUUAAUACACUGAACUAAAUAUAUUGUGUAGGAAAUGAAAAAAAAAGGGUAAGAAUAUAGUGAUUAAUUAUUAUUUUUCUAAAUUUAAUUACUAUUUAAUGAUUUUUUUUAAUAAUAGCGGUAGGAUGAGAAACAUGAAUAAUACUUGAAAAUAAAUAUAUGUAUGCCAAUGAUUAUAAAAUUAUACUAUGUGAACUAUUUUCAUGAGAUGUGCCACAAUGGGAUUACCAUCAAGCCUUGUUGUUCUAUUAUAUCAAAAUAUAUUAUAUCUUGCACUCUUUGAAAAUAAUUAGAAAUAAAAAUUUAAAAAUCGUUAGUGACCAAUCUUACACUUUUCUCUCUAGAAGUAUCCUAACAAUUGAAGAGAAAGAAUUUUAAUAUAGGAUGAUAAGGGAAGACUAUAUUAAACACAAACAUAUUAUUAUAAUGAGUUCAAUGUCCUAUUAUAUGUCUAAAAAUUGUGUGACAUAAUAUUGCAGGAACAUAAAUUUGGCUUUGAGCAUAUGGUUAUACAUAAAGGACUAAAACAGAAAUAUUAUAGUCAUUAAACACUACUCAUUUAAAUAACCUAAGCUUGAAAAAUGAUACUAACUAUUGAAUUGAAUAAUACCCUACUAUUAGACUAAAAAGAUACUCUUGAAACAUAUAUUGUGUGUGAAGUUGUAGGUCUUCAUCGGUUGACUUAGAAGCUGGAUGUUGGAGAACAACAUCGGGAACAGUGCUAGGAAGGAACAAUAUACAUCAAAUUCUGGUUUUAGCUAAGUCGAUAAAUCAAAACAACUUUUGAACAUGGCAAAUAAUUGGGGGGAUUUGUUUGAAACUCUUAGCUUAAUAUAUUUGAACAAGAACCACAAUCACUGAUAUUAUUCUCCAACAUAUAUUCAAUGAUUGGAAAUCGGCUCGUUAGGUUUAAUUGUGAAAAUAUAUUGUAAGGUGUAUUGGUAUUAGACGAGACUGAGCUAACUGAGAUUUCGUCUCUCUAAACAAGAUAAUCGAGACUCCACAAUAGUCUGGUCGAUCGGCACAUUAAAUCAUUAACGCUCAAAUCAAGGUCAGUGAAGCUAAAUUACCAUUAAGAAUUAGGUAAUGCAAUCAUAAGUGUGAUUCAUUCCACUAAUCAGACCCAAUAAGGUAAGCCCAUUAAAAUAAUAUAAAUAACGCACAUUCCAAGAAGAAAGGUAUGUCAUUAUCACUGAACACACCCGAGUGCCGAAUACCCUCUUUACUGACUUGAGCGUCGGAGUGUCUUCUACAGGUACUUCCCCCAUUUGGCAUUCACCCUGAGACUGAGAGUCGAAAGAGUAGCGUAAAGACCAAAAAGAUCACUGUGAAACUUUAGCAACCUGUCCGAAAGAAGGAGGAAGACGAAGACUUCAACAGUUCUUUAGGUCUCAUCUUCCUAGCAGGAACAUAAGGUUAUACCAAACUAUAACAAGGUCAACACAACUUUUUGAAUGAGGAUUGACAAAUUAAGGUUGUAAAGACCAUAUACUGAGAUAUAUUUUGAAACUAUGUG
rnacentral:lncRNA from 1 species